GUGCAUGGUGCAUAGAGACUUAAAAAACUUUAGUAAGAGAUUUCUAUAUUUUUCUAAUUUAGUCUUGUCGGUUAUGAUCUUGCGAAAUUAAAGGCUUUUUGAUUAUUCUUGGAGUUUUCGUUGGAACAAGAGAGAGGUGGGAUUUACCAUAAAAUUUUUAUUUUUUUAUCUAGAGAAAGCAUAAUUAAGCUUGUACUUUAUUUUUUCAUAUAAAAAUGCAUCUCUCUCGCUCUUUUCAUGACUCACUCUCCCCAUUAAUGUAGGUAAUUAUUGAACUACGUAAAUUUUAGUAUCUUCCUUCUAUAUUUAUUUCUUUUACUAGUCGGCUUUGGCUUUUUCUAUUUUUUCGUGCAUUUUUAUUGGUAACAUAUAACGGACGAUCCAUCCAAUUUUCAAUAAUUACAAUCUAUAAGAAAUCGUUUUAUUUGCUUAAUUGUAAAGUCUUGGCAUUCAUAAGUAAGUUAUUGGAAUAUAUAAUUUGUUUCACUUGCCAUGUGCUUUAUCUUAUUCCGAUAAAGUGGCUUUGAGGCUAAAUAUAGUAUACUAUUUUUAGACAUGUGACCAUAUAUACUACUUGUAUUCAUAUACCAAAUAUUAAGUAAUAAAAAGAAUGUAUUACUCAAGAAAUUCGUAUAUCAAUCACAGCAAGGCCUCAAAGGUUGCAUUAUUAUUGUGAUCUUAGCAUUUGAGCGAAUUAAAAUAUAUGUGAAAAAAGGUUUUCAUAUAGAAAAAUAGACCGUAAGGAGAAUAAUAUAAUAAUUUGUCAUGACAUGACAAAAGUUGUCCCAUGGUAGGAGUGUAAUGUGGGCCGUGCCGGGCUAGCACGACCCACCUACCUGGGCCGAUUCAGGCCGAGGGUCGUCCCGGCCGACCGUGCGGGUCCGUUUGCUUAGAGGGAAAGGCCCCGCCCGACCCCUAAUCCGCCCGGCAUGAGCCGAGCUGGGCUUCGUGCCAACCCAGUAAUAGGGAUUUUUUUUUUUCCAUUUCUUACUGAUCGUCCUUUCUUAUAUAUUUUUAUUUUGUUUUUUUUAAAAAAGAGAUAAUUAGUUUUUAAAUUAUAACGUUUUGAUUUAUAGUUUUUAAGUUACAUAAUUAGACCCAACUUUUUUAAAACUCUUUUAAAAAGUGUGUAAAUUAAAAAAAAAAAACUAAAACACUAACAAUAAAUUUAACUUUUUAAUAUUAUUAAUUAAUAUUAUAUAAAAUUUAAAACUUAGAGAUCAAUAAUUUUAACUUUUCAAUUUUAUAGAUUUUUAAUAUAAAUGUUUUAAUUUAAAUUUCUUUGAUCCAAUAACCAACUUUAAUAUAAAAUUAAUAUUAUUUUUUCAUAUUUUUUUAUUAUUUGGACAAAAAUUGAUAUUCUAAAAAAAAUAAAAAAUAUAUAAAUUUUGAAUUAAUCAUGUUACGUAAUUACAUUGGAGGAAAGUAUAAAAAUUUAAAAAAUUAAAAUAUAUUUAAAAUAAAAUGGUAUUGUUUAUACAACCUACUAGCAAACAAUAGAAAAAAAAAAAACCAACAUAUUUUUGUAUUCAUUACAUCAUUAUUUUUACUUAAGAAAAAGGCAUGUACUAAAGAGAGAUAUCAAAUAAAAAAAGAAGAGGCGCAACGAGUAAUAGGCGAUAGCGAGGUGAUCAGGGAGAUUGCACUUUAGUAUGCCUCAAGUGUUGGUGUUCUUUUAUUAGAUAGUUGAUUCUGUUAUAUCUGAAGAUAUAGACUCAUGAUCUCCUUUGUCUUGUUUUCUUAAUUCUGCAGCUCCAAACUAAAACUUUGGUCGGGCUUGUGUGGUAAGAUUGUGGAAAAACUUUAUAAAAAAAAAAGUUGAUAGAAAAAAUUAAAAAUAUUUGCAUAGCAAAUGGAUAUAAAAAAAUUUAGAUUGAAAGUUGAUGAGUAGAAAAAAUUAGUUUUGCAGAAGAAAAUAAAUGAAGAAUUAUUUAUUGUGAUGAAUUUGGAGAUUUGUAGGAGUAUUUAUAGAUUUUAAAAAAAUUUAAAUAUUUUUAAAAAUAUAAAAAUAUUUUUUAUUUUGACCAAAAUGCCCUCUCUAACUGUCAAAUUUUUUAAUGUUAGUGGGGCAUUGUGGUCAUAUAUAUAUAUNACGAGAUUUGAUUUUAAUUAAAUCAAAGAAGUACCAGUUUCCUAGGUACCGAGAUAAUCGAAAGUUUCAACUGAACAAAAUUCUAUUCACCAAAUUAAAGAAUCGAGAAUUAAUUAAAAACUUUAUUUUCAAUCGAUUUAUUUGAUUGGGGCAUUUUCAUGACAAGAUAGAAAUUUAGUUGAACGAUUACACGUGAUAAAAGAGUACAGCUCCCUCACAACACGCGCCGCAGCUUGAAAACUGGAAAGCAUGCAUCCCGAAGGUAUUAAAAAGAGACUCUAAUUAAUAGAAAAUAUGGAUUUUGAAAUGCAGUGUGGACAGAAUGUAUUUCGACGGCGGCGGCGGCGGCGGCAGCAACGGAUGGAUGCUCGCUCAUGCUUUCGACCGGCGGCACGUGGUCGUGAGAUCAUCAUCAACAGGCGGCCGGCCGUCAUCCCUCCCUGAUCCUGAUCCGCUAACCCUGUCUUAUUACAUUAUAAUGAUUAACACAAAAGGAAGAUGUUCCGCAGUCCCCAGUGACGUCGGACAAAUCCAUAAAAUAACCCAAAAUGCUUUCGGUAAGAAAUAGUUAAUAGCAUCCAGGCAACAACGACAAUCCAGUAGUUUAAUUAAGUUACAUAAUAAAGCAGCACGAGUUGAGCUUUCUAGGAAAAAAAAAAAGAAAAAAAGAAAAAAAGAAAAAAAUAAAGAAAAAAAAAACUAAUUGGUUAACUUACACUAAAUUUUUAAUUGAGUAUCUUCUUCUCUAAUCAAAUAAAUAUAUUAAUUUGAUCAGAUUAAUCUACUUUUUUUAUGAAGAAUAAUGGCGCGAAUUGGCUAAAAAAAAUAAAAAAUUAGGACGCUAUGAAUGCAUAACAAAGAAAAAGAAAAGAAGAAAAAGGUAAUCUAAUUGGGAAGGCAAGAAAAGAAAUAAUAUUGUAAACCAAAAAUUUGACAAAUUUUUCACUCUACUAUAGUCCAUAUUUAUAGUGUGCUUAAAAUUGAAAAUUUUUAUAAGUGUUAUCUAUUAAAAAGAAGAGCCAAUAUAGAAAAGAGUAAAUGGAGGAUUUAAUUCUCUUAUUUAAUUUCUAUUAGAUGAGCUGCGAAAUUAAAAAAGCAUUAUUGGAAACUUUAUUUAAAGAUUCCAUUUUUAGAAAGAAAAACGAUCAAAUUAAAUGUGCAUUAAUUUAAAAUUUUUUAUUUGUUUAAAGUAGAGCAUGAAGCUAAUUACUUUCAGUUACUAAUCAUUGAAGCCAAAAAGAUUAUUAUAUAUAUGAAACAUUGGAUUAAUUAUAUGUAUUAAUUAUAUAUUAAACUAUAGUUAUUAUUGUGAUUAUAUAUCCAUAUCAGUUACUAAUCAUUGAAUUUCUCAUUUUGUUCUUUCUAAAUAUGGAAAAGUUAUAGAUUAUAGAUAAGAAGUAGUUUAAUUCAAAGAUGGGCUAUAAGAAUGAAAGAUAACUUACCACGUAGCAAGAAAUAUUAUGACUUCAUAUAGGUUUAUAGAUAAGGCUAAAACUCUGAACUCGGAUUAAACAUUUUGGGUGGUAGUUAAGCCCAAGAGGUUAAGAGAGUUAAGCGUAUUAGGGUAGGAGUAGUCCUAAGAUAUGUGAUCUCGUGGGAAGUUGGGGCGUUACAGUUGGUAUCAGAGCCAAUUACCAGCCGAAAGUGUGAGAUAAGUCUCAGCAGAGUUAGAAUUAUACAGUGAGGAGAGUGAGGCUCUCAUACAGUUAACUGUUGUGGGUAUAACGCAGCUCACCAUAAGGUCGGUUUAAAUUAGCUAGACGAAUCUCACAUAACCUGAUACUUGUAAAACUGAGCCUGAUGAGGACGUCAGGGUUUAAGAAGGGGAGAAUGUGAGACCCCGGGUGGUCCUAUAUAUGAGAUAUAAUAAGGCUAAAACUCUUAACCCGGCUUAAACAUUUUAGGUGGUGGCUAAGUCCAAGAGGUUAAGAGAGUUAAGCGUGUUAGGACGAGAGUAGAUCUAGGAUGGGUGACCCCCUGGAAAGUUAGGACAUUAUAGUGUUAAUACCACCUUAACCUGUCACAUUCUGAUUUCACAACAGAAGCCCACUGAAACGUCAAAAGACCUGCCGAACGGGCAGAGUUUUUUUUUCUGUCCGAACGAAGCGUCAACAAAUCAGAAUAGUAGCAAAACAGGUCUAAACAAAGAAUCAGCCCAAAAACCAGUUCUAAAAUCUACAACCAGCAUUCAACAUGUAUUGGAGCACUACAAACAAUAGUAAAACUAUAUCAUCACUGUACAUCAAAAUUGGCGAGGCCAAGAUGUUCUAUUUGUAUAUACACGAAAAAUUUCUAUAUAUACGACAGGUCUGUUAACGAGCCCGAAAAACGUGGACAUCCGGGGCGUGACAGUCUGCCAGACCCUUGGACUUUGGUAAAAAAGCAAGUUUACCCAGGCCUAAUUUAUAUAGGCCAGGCUUAACCAGGCCUAUAAUUUUAAAAUUCAAAGGCUUAUACACCUACAGUACUUGGGCCAUGCCGGAUCGACAGACAUGGCCCAUGCGGACCAUGCCGUGCUGGGCUGCGGGCCGACCUUCCGACUCGGCAUGGCUCGAGCCCGACAUAGGCUGCGCUGUGCAGGGCUUACGGUCGCAAAAGCUCGGCCCAACAUGGCUCGGAGAGCCAGGCCGGCCCGGCCCGGCACGAAUGCUACAGUAGGUGGCCCCAUUUUGCAUCCCUACCCAUGGAUGUAGGGGUGUCAAUGAGCUAAACAUGAGCUGGCUCGUUAAAGUAUCGAAUCGAAAAAUUCAGCUCUUGUCCGACUCGUUAAAAAAUAAACCGAGCACGAGCUGGCUUACGAGCUGAUCAAUGAACAAUAAGUUAAAUGGAUUAGAUUGGAUAUAUAUAAAAAAUAAAUUUAUAAAAUCUUAUCCAUUAAACUUUAAUCUAAUGAUUGAAAAAUUCAGCUCGUAUUCGGCUUGUUUACUAAAUGAUUGAGUGAUUUGAUCUCAAACUCAUUUCGAGGCGAACACGAGUUGACUCACGAACAACGAGCUGGAUUGAGAACCCUACAUGGAUGGACCCAAACACAAGUAUACACCGGCGCUUGCGGGGUACAACUCUGUAGAAAAAUUUCGUGCACAAAACUAGAGAGAAAUAACACUAAACUUAUGUAUAAAGACAUUAAACUUCAAGUUUCAAAUUUUAAAUUUCAAAUUUUAAAUUUCAAAUUUUAAAUUUUAAGUUUUAAAUUUCAAAUUUUAAAUUUUAAAUUUCAAGUUUCAAAUUUCAAAAUUUAAAUUUUAAAUUUUAAAUUUUAAAAUACAAUUUUGUAUUUUAAAUUUUAAAUUUUAAAUUUAGAUUUUAAUUUUUAAUUUUAUAUAUUUAUAUUUAAAUUUUAGAUUUUAAAUUUAUAAAUUUCAUGCAUAUUUAUAUUUUAAAUUAAACUAUUAUAUUUAUAAUUUUGUUCAAAUUUCAAAUUUCAAAUUUCAAAUUUCAAGUAGAGGAACCGAUAAACUAUAUGAUACAGUUUAAACAACCAAAUUUCUAAAACUAAAAGCUGAUCAAUCAUACUAUGCAUAUCCCAGAAGACCCUAGAUUUAAAGUUGAUCAGUCAUCAAAUUACAGCAUCAAACUUGGAUAUCGAGAGAAAAAAAACUAUCUUGACACUUUAUUAUAGGAUGUAAAUCUUAAACUCCUUGACCCAGUAGUUUAAAAUAUUGAGAAUAAGCAAUUCGCUCUAAUACUAAUUGUUGUAAAUUAGGUAUUUGCUCCGUUAGCGAUUGGGUUUUUACUGCAAAUCCGUUAUACAACUAUAAAAAAAAAAACUCAAACAAAAAAAAAUAUAUAUAAUAAAAUUAACUAAUAAAAUGAGGAAUUACAUCUAGGGAUGUCAAUGGAUACGGAUACUUAAAAUUUUAUUCAAAUCCUAAACCGAACAUGACGGAUUUACUCGAUACUAAAUGGAUGUGGUUUAAACCCGACAUAUUUGGAUUUAGGUAUUGAUUUUGUCCUUACUAGACCUGAACCUAAACCCGAUUGUAUUUUACAUUAUAUAAUAUAUAUGAAUGUUGAGAAUAGGUCUUAUGUACUAUUAGGAGCCCGAAGGCCUCUGUGCUGCUAAGUCGUUUUCGAUAAUAAAGCUUUUGAAUCGACGAUUGGCUCUAUUAGAUUUGAUUUAGCAUAUUUGAAGUAUCUAGAAAAUAAAUUUGUGAUUUCGAUAUCAUUUGCCUCGCGAUCAGAAGGGUUCAAAAUCAAUGGCUGAAAAAAAAAAUCCCACAAAAAGUGAUAAUAUAGCACCAAAUUUUCAAUCAGAGAUAUUGAUCUUGCAGUAAAUAGUAUAAAAAAUUUUCUAGCAAAAUUUUAUCUGAUUUGAAUACUUUUACACCGUUAAACUUGCAAACGAUAUAUAUCAACCUUUAAAAAUUAUUGAUUUUUAACCAUUUCGAUCGUUAGGUAAAUGAUAUCGAAAAAUCGUAAAAUUUAUUUUUUAGAUAUUUCAAAUAUUCUAGAUCAAGUCUAACGGAGCCGAUCGUCGAUUCGAAAGCUCCACAUCGAAAACAACUUAGGAGCACGAAUGCCUCCGUGUUCCUAAUAGCUCACAAGACCUACUCUGAAUGUUUGAUGUUUUGCACUUGUAUUUUAAAAUUUUAGAUUUUAAUUUAUAUAAUAUAUUUUGAAAUAUGAUAAAAAAAAUAGGGCUAAUUUCGUACAGGUCUCUGCAAAUAUAGUAAAUUACAAAUAUAUUCCUAUAAAGUUCAACUUUCAUAUGUUGUUCCUGCAAAAAAGUUCUAAUAUUUUAAAAUAUGUUUCUCUAAUUUCUUACCGUUGUAGAACUAUUUAUAUCUUAAGUGAAAUGUCAAGUUAUCUUAUAAACUUAUCAGAGUUAAGUAUUUAACCUAUGUUUAACUAAGAUUUUUUUUUAACGGAUUCUAACGGUAGGAAUAUAUUUGAAAAUUUAGGACUUUUGUAGGAACAAUAUAAAAGUUGAACUUUGUAGAGAUAUAUUUGUAAUUCAUUAUAUUUGCAGGGACAUGUAUGAAAUUAAUUAGCCCAAAGAAAUAAUUACUUCCGAUUCCAAUUUUCGGGAUCCUGCUCGGGUUUCGAAAUUUUGUUUGGAUUCGAAUUUCGAAAUCAGUUUUCAAAACCCACCGGGUCCCAAUUAUGAUUUGAAUUUUGAGUUGGAAUUUCGGAUUCGGGUUUGGUUUUUAAAAAAAUCUACUCCCGAAUCCGACCCAAUUACAUCCGCUUAAAUCCAAGGUGAGUUUAGGUGCAUGCAACAGCUGACGUCAGCCAUACGCAAUCAGCAUGACGUCACGGUGUAAAAUUAGUGCAUUCACUGCAACGUACCCGGAUCUUUAUAUACAUUUUGAAUUUUUAUUUGUAUUCUAAUUUAAAAGUUUAAAUUCUAUACUAUAAAUAUUACAAAUUUAAAUAUUUAUGAUUUAAUUACAAAUGUAAUCGAAUUCUAACAUAGAAACCCCUCUUUCAGGAUUAAAAAUAAAAAAUAAAAAAUCGAUAAUGCCAGUGAGUAAAUAUAAUUCUUCGCAUAGUUGGGACGUAAAAUUUAUACCAUAUAUAUAAAUUAGUUUAAUUAGUAAUUUCACUCAAGGAGAGGAUCUACUAAACUAUCCAGUAAAAUUUAAAAUAUCUAAUUAUCAAAACUAAAAGUCGAUCUAUUAUACUUUGAAUAUUUUAGAUUUUCUAAACGUGAGUUGAUCUCUCAUCAUACUAUAAAAUAUAGGAAAAAUUUCGAAUACCACCCCUUGUGGUUUCACAUUUUCUCACUUUAGUACCAUAUGGUUUAAAGUAUAUUAAUUUAAUGCCCUGUGGUUUUUUUUUUUUUAUCUUUUUAUUAUCGGUUCCACUAAUUUAAUUUUUUCGUUAAAUUAGUGACAAAAUUAAAAGUAAAGGGCACUAAAGUGAAUAUUCGAUAAACUUAGGUGCGGUAUCUAAAGAUUUUUGUAUAUAAUUUAGCAAAAUAUUAACGAAAAAGCUGACGAAAAGAUAAAAAUGAAACCACAUGAUACUAAUUUGAUACACUUUAAACCUCAGGAUACUAAAGUGAGAAAGUGCAAAACCACAGGGGUGGUAUUUGAAGUUUAUCCUAAAAUAUAAUAUCGAAGUUGGAUAUUAAAUUCUAGAUAAGAACGUACAGAAUUUGAAUCAGCUAUCCAAUUUUUCAAAAUUUUGAUUUUACUAUACAAUAUUUCAAUUUGUUUGAUUUGAUUUAGGCAACUGUAUUUUGGCUUCAAAUUUUAAGCUAAUUAAUUGCUUUAGUAAAUUUAUAGUUGUAAAAAUUAUAUGGAUUAUAUUAACUAAAUCUGUAAAGGUAAAUGAUGUAGUUAAAUUAAGAAAUGAAUGUGCCGUUAAUUGACUAAAUAAAAUAAAUUAAAAUAUUAGCUAGUAAAAUCAAAAUUUUAAAAGGUGGAGAAGCCAAUUCACAAUAGUACAUAAUUCAGGUAAGUCCUGUAUGUUUUUAGCUAAAAAUUUAUACGGUUAGUCGAUCUAUACCCCUGCAUUAUGCACAAAAAAAAAAAAAAAAAAGCAAAAAUGAAAAAAGUAAAGCACACCAUUAUUUUUUAGCUAUCGGAUUAUUUUAAGAUUCGCACAGCACUAAUAAAAAAAAUUUAACGAGACACCGUUAAUAAUGCUGCCACGGAUCUUGAGGCUCUCCGACGACCUUUUUAUUAUUAUUAUUAUUAUUAUUAUUAUUAUUAUUUACUUGGCGGAGAGCUCUAUGACUAGUGCAUAACCCAAAUCAGAUGGAGAAAAUAAAUAAAAAAAGGUAAAAUUCCAAAAAGAUAGCAAAAGAGAAAACACAGGAAUUAAUUAAUAGUUCUUAAACUAUAGUAACGAAAAAUAGCAACGAUCUUUAUCAACUUAAUUAACAAGUUACUAUAAUCACAAAUUCAUAUAAUUAAAUCCUUAAAAAAAAAAGAAAAAGAAAACCCAAACUGUUAGAUGAAAUUUGAUGGAAACUAAUUUUAAGAAAAAUAAAGUAGGAAAUUAAGCUAACAAGUGCCCUAAUAAUUAAUCACUAGACUAGUUUCUACAUAACUGUGCAAUAACUGUCAUAGCCAUAAUCUGGAACAAUACAUGCGUAUGGUGGUGGUGGUACCACAAUACACUCGGCUGGUUUCUUCUCUUCCUUUUUCUUUUCCUUCUCUUCUCCAACACUGAUCAGUUCCACGCAGCAGCUUACGCGCUUUCUCAGCACAUUCGUUAGGGUUACUGGGUCGAAUAACCCAUCGCCGACCAAUACGAUCCGAUCAUCUUCCACUGAUGCAGAUGUAAUACCUAGAGGUAUAAUUAAUAGAGGGUAAACUUAUGGGAGGACCCCUGAUCUGCUGACAAUUUAUAAUUUUGUCUCUAGUCUUUUGUUCAUACAUUAAUUAGGCCCCUAAUAUUUUUAGCCUAGGUGCAUUUUUUGAGAAUGAAACUCUCUACUUGUGCUUGUAUUAAUUUGAGCAUGUAAAGUAACUAAUAACAAAGAUUUUGAACCUACUUAAACAAACCAAGGAUUGUAUAUUACAUUGCAAUAACUCAGUUAAUUUUAAUGACUAUUUCUUAAAAAAUUACAUUAAAUUAAAUCACAUUGUUUUAGAAAUUCUGUCGAGGGGGGGGCAUAGCGUAAUGGUUCUCAAAAUAUUUCAUAAUUUUUCAUAAAUUUGUGGCAUCUCAAUAGUCCCACAUCGAAUAGUUAUGACUAGAUGUGGAAAUAUAUAAACUUGAUUGGGUUAGACAUAAUAACUGGGCUUAAGCAUUUUGGGCUGGUGGUUUAGACCCAACGACUUAUUUUUGUGACACCCAAUAGUCCAACGUCGGAUAAGAUUGGAAUUGUCAUUGGGUAUAUAAAAAGACUCCGCCCAAAUAAUAAUAACUAGGAUUAACUAUUUUGGGCGGAUCGGGUGGUUACAAAAUUAUCCACAAAUAAAUAAACUACUUGAUUAUAGAGCACAAGUACAAGGGAAUAGGGAUCUUAGUGUGGGUAAUUUAAUUACCAGGAAAUCCAGCAGCAAUUUGAAGUGUUUUUUGCCUCCUCUUGGGAUCAUUCAAUUUGACCUUAAGAACCACCUUUUUCUGCAAUUAAUCAACAAAUUAACAAAACAGAUAAUUUAAAGUAACAUAGCUAGACCCUUCUUUUCAUAAUCUGACCUUUCAUAACCUUUAUUCUUUGUUUCAAUCAAAUUGAUCCCAUCGUCAAACACCUCUCAUCAACGUUCAUACGUAGAAAACAGCAUUAGGUUUCGUUACACUUACAGGAGUUUUCAUCAAUGGCGAUAACUUAAAUAAAAUAAGUAAUAAAAGUUAAGUAUAUCUGAUUACGAAAAUAUAAAAAGUUCGUGAGUGAAGUGAACAAAUGGUGCAUAUAUAUGCAAUCAAUGGUGCAUAUAUAUGCAAUCAAACUCCCAUAUAUAAUAACACAAACUCAGCAUUUAACUCACCUUAGCCAUCUUUGUAAGAGAAAUAACUACUUGUAAGCCUGCAAUGUUUUUUUUUUUUUUUUUUAAGGGUUAGAGAGAGAGAGAGAGAGAGAGAACAAGCAGUUUAUGUGUGUGUGUAUAUAUAUAUAUAUAUAUAUAUAUAUAUAUGUAGAUAGUUGGGGUUUGCAUAACUAUAUGAAGGUUUCCUACUAUUUAUGUAUUGGGGGUUGGGAGUGUGGGGGUGGGGUUUUGUAUUGAGUCAAAGUCAAUGGACCACAUGCAUGUUAUUGUUGAUUCUUCUUGUGAAGUUUGUGUCCAUCACAUCACAUGUACGCCUCUCCCACUCUUCUAUAUUAUGAGAUGUGGAACCUCACAUUCUUUUGCAUUAUGGAAUGUGGGAUUUAUUAGGUGUUACAUUAAUCUCUCCCUAUAUUAUCGUCAGUCUCGUCCUAAUCACACUAAUAAGCGACGUGAGAUCAGCUCACACUUUUGACUGAUAAUAUAGCUCUAAAUAUAGCUCAAAAUGUUUAAUUCUAGCUAUUAGUUCUACUGUAUUGGUCUCAUAUAAACCUUUUACAUUCUCUCAUAACAUCCGAUGUAGGAAUAUUAAGUGUCGCCAAAACUAUGCAUGCAUGCAGUUUGAUAAUCUAUUAGCUGAAUAGUAAUUAGUCGUGAAAAUAAAUAGCAUAGAAAAAGUCAUUAUUGAUUGGUUUGUAAGAAAUUGGGAUAAAAUAUUUAUUACUUUUGAUUUAUAGAGCUAGGCUGGUAUACUAUCGGUAGCACGGAGGGCUCCGUGUUAUCAAGUUGUUUUCGAUGAUGCGGCUUUCAAAUCGAUAAUCGGCUCCGUUAGACUUGAUCUACACUAUUGAAAGUAUUUGGAAACUAAAUUUCAGAUUUUUUCGACAUCAUUUGACUAGUGAUCAAAAGAUCUCAAAAUUGACAAUUUUAAUAGCCGAUGUGGUGUGUUUGUGAGUUUAACGGUGUAAAACAAUUCAAAUCCGAUGAAAAUUUUAUAGAAAAUUCUUUUCACUAUUUAGAGUAAGAUCAGUAUAUCUGAUCUUGAAUUUAAAUCUUUUAUCAUCAUAUUUUAUGAGAUUUUUAUUUUCAGCCGUUUAAUUUUAGACUACUUGUUUGAUAGGUAAAUGAUAUCGAAAAAUUAUGAAAUUUAGUUUCUAAAUACUUUCAAUAGUAUAGAUCAAGUCUAACGGAGCCGAUCGUCGAUUUGGAAGCCGCAUCAUCGAAAACAACUUAAUAGCACGGAGCCCUCCGUGCUAUCGAUUGUAUAGUAGCCGGACUCUUCAUUCAUAUGUAGGCCUUCAAUGAGUUACAUUUUGAAUUUUAAAACCUUUAUUGUAAAGGUUUAAUGGUAUGGCAUAUAUAAAUGUAUUUUUAUAGCACUGGAGGUGAUGAUUUCUCAACAAUUAUACUCAUCUUCAGUUUCAUUCAUGGGUUUGGCUUGGACCCAAAAAACUGAACCCAAACUCAAAAGCAAAAAUAUAUAUAGAUAUAUAUAAUAUAUGACGAUCCAUACGGCUAAAUAUGAUCUUGGCUAUGUUAACUUUAUAUGUUUGAAAUUUUAUGAUUUUACGAUAUUAUUUAUCUUGUGAUCAAGUGGUCUCAAAUUCACUAUGUAUAUUAACCAUUAAAAAUUAUUAUUUUUUAAUUUUUAAAUCAUUAAAUAGUAAGCAAAUGAUGCCAUAAAAUCAAGAACUUUUAAAUUCAAAAAGUUCAAAUAGUGUACAUUAAGUUUAGCAGUGUGGAUCAUCAAGCCGAUUUUCCCAUCGCUAGAAACAACGUGAUAAGAAAUUUCUCUAUUUACUUUCAAAAGUAGUCCAGCUGGAUAUAUACACGUAUAGUUUGACAACUUAAAAAAAAAAGGAAAACUUUAAAAAACCUCCUUGUGGUUUCGCACUUUUUUAUUUUAGUACUCUGUGGUUUAAAGUGUAUCAAGUUAGCACCAUGUGGUUUCUCAUUUUAUCACUUUAGUACUCUGUAGUUUAAAAUGUAUCAAGUUAGUAUUCUGUGGUUUUAUUUUUGUAUCAAGUUAGUACUCUGUGAUUUUAUUUUUGUAUUAAGUUAGUACCCUAUGAUUUUUAAACCACAGAGUACUAAAGUGAUAAAGUGCGAAACCACAGGGUACUAAAGUGAUAUAGUGCGAAACCACAUGGUACUAACUAGAUAACCUUUAAACCACAUGGUACUAAAGUGAAAAAAAGUGAAACACAAGGAAAGUAUUUGAAGUUUUCCCAAAAAAAAAAAAAAAAACCAAAAGCUCUCUCUCUUUCUCUCUCUCUCUCUAUAUAUAUAUAUAUUAAUGAAAUACUUUGAUAUUUAGUAUACUGAAUAGUCUGGUCUUUGGUUUUGGAUACAAGUUUUCAAGUUUUAUUUAGAUCAUAUUUGAUUUUCCGUAAGUGAAAUAACAAAAAUGGUGCUUUGAUUAAGUGGUAUUAUUCUAGUUGCUUGAUUUAUAAAAGUGAACAUGUAAAUUACUUUUAAAAAGUAAUCAAUAAAGUGGGUUAUAACUAAAAUUCAUUUUUUUGACUUCGACCUAAAUUCCGAAGUAGCGGCAACAAAUUAAGAAGAUUAUCUCCUAACAAGAAGAUCUCCUAUUCUAGCUGCCAAACAAGCAAGUUUAUCUCUCUAUCUCCAUGUUUUUUUUUUAUAUUUAUAUUUCUUGAUCUAAUUAUGUUAUGCAUUUAAUUUUCUAUUAUUAUGCUAUUUAAUCAAAGUUUUAUUCUGUGAUGUUGUUUACUUACAAAUUGCUAGCUUAUUAAUGUUUGUCUUUUCUUUUUCUUUUAUUCUUGUCCUUUUGAGGUAUAGUUAUUAUUUUGUGAUAUUUUUUCAUUUGGUACAUGUUGUUAUCUUUUCAUAAUUUGUUAUCUCGUUCAAAAUAGUUUAAAUUUGUGAAUGGAGAUGGAUUAUGAUAAGGAUGAAGAUUUUGACACAACUACAUUGACUAUCGUAAUUAUUUGUAUUAAUUUUCUAAAUAGAAUUUCUAAAAGUCAUAAACUGUACUUUUCUUUUUUUUAUAUUUUUUAAACCAAAUAAUCAAACUCAAAAAGUACUUUUUCGAAGGUCACGUUUUGAAAAAUGACUGUUUUCACUUCGACGACUUACGAGCAAUCAAACAUGCCCUUAGUAAGGCAGUUGCAGUUUUGAUUUCUAUACUUCCUUAGGGUAUGAUUUUAUUUUUGAUUUUUUUUUAUUAAGAUUUUAUGGAUACUGCCAAAAAUCAACAUGUUAAGUGGGGAGAGAAAUAGUUUUCGGCAGUAAAUACUUACUUCUAUUAUUUACUUCAUCUUUGCAUGAAACUCAAACUUUCUAAAAUAACGUAACUAAUUACAACGCACUUCAAUUUGAAGUCAAUUACGAAAAAAAAAAGUGAGAAAAAAAAAUAAAAUAUUAAUCAAUCUCUCAUACCUACAGCCAUUACGUCUUUCACUUCUUACAGAUGAAAGAAAAAUAUUUGCAUCUAAACUAUAAUUCAUCCGAAAACCUACUUUAAUCUGAGAUUUGUUGUCUAAAAUCCCUAACCAAACAACAUGGGAAAGAUGAAAGGAGUAGGUCUUGUGUGCUAUUAGGUGCACGGAGGCCUCCGUGCUUCUAAGCCGUUUUCGAUGAUGGAGCGUCCGAAUCGACGAUCGGCUCCGUUAGACUUGAUCGAGCGUACUUGAAGUAUCUAGAAAAUAAAUUUUGCGAUUUUUUGAUAUCAUUUACAUAGCGAUCGAAAGUGUUCAGAAUCAACGUUUGAAAAUAAAAAUCUCAAAAAGAGUGGUGAUAUAGCACUAAAAUUUUCGAUUUGAGAUAUUAAUCUUGCAGUAAAUAGUACAAAAUUUUUCUAUCAAAGUUUUAUCUGAUUCGAAUACAUCUACACCGUUAAACUUGUAAAUGAUAUACAUCAACCAUUACAAACUGUUAAUUUUUAAUCCAUUCGACCGCUAGGUAAAUGAUAUCAAAAAAUCGUAAAAAUUUAUUUUCUAAAUACUUAAAAUACACUAGAUUAAGUUUAACGAAGCCGAUCGUCGAUUCAGAAGUCCCAUCAUCGAAAACGGUUUAGAAACACGAUGACCUCCGUGCUCCUAAUAGCACACAAGACCUACUCAAGAUGAAAGCACUUCCCCACCUACUAGGGCAAGGAAGCAUGUGCUUGUAGACACCUCAACAAAUAAGUUGCUUUAGACACCUCAACUAAGUCUCAAUUUGUUGAUGUGAUCACUUAAAUUCCGGAGAGUUGGUACCAGGAAAGGUAUAAAUAAACACUUAACCCCAUCAAUAUCAGUGACUAUUAAAAGCAUUAAUAGUAUGAAACAAUCGUUGUUUUUAAAAAACUUAAAUCAUGAGAGAAUAAUGUUUUUAGUAUUUACAUUCAGCAUUCUUUUUUAUAUCCGAACUUGAGACUUUUUAAUAGGCUAAGACGUUAGACUGAAUUAAACGGAGAAAAUUAAACGAAGCAAUCCAAAAACUUUAAUUAAGCUACAGUGUCACGCCCCGGGGUUCCCUUUUUGUUUGAAAUACAGCGGAAAAGCGUUUGAAUUUUUUUUUUUGAAAAUCUGACCCCAGAGUAUGCCAGAUCCGCCACAAAUACAGGGAAUCCACUGUUCACACGGACAGAGUCUCCCCUGUACUUGCACGGCGUCAUACAAGUACAAAAGUACAAACAGUAUACAACCACAAUCAAAUGAAUAUAUAGAUAGCUAUACAUUCAUACAUUCCCCAUUCACAUCACAGUUUUACAUUCGAGGUUUAAACAGAAAUCCACAAAAACCUUUUGAAAGCUGUUUCCUACACAGAAACCUUUAUUCUUUUAAAAACGCUGCCACGAGGGGUAGAAAAUCUUUUAUUUUACAAAAUCCAGAAAUUCUUUGAUUACAUUCAUGAAAGUCCAAUUAUUUCCAAUGUAAUAAAAAUAAUGAACCAUUAUAAAGCUGGACUAAGCUAGUAACAACAGAAUAGUAGGGAAAAACUAAACCGAUAAUUGGGUCGGAAGGCUCUAUCGAACCGCGUCGAACGUACCCUCACGUCUCGUCCCAAAACUCAAUGCCAAUGUAAUACCUGAAAAUAGUGGGGGAGGUGAGAACAUUGUAAAAACAUGUCUCCCCUCCCAGUGUACGCAAGCGAAGCGAGGCGAGCGAUACUCACCGGAUCAGAAGAGAUAAAACAAGCAGUGAUGGGUAAGUAAAAUACGUAGCACAUGCAUACAUGACACGAAUGAAGAAUAGUAUAUAUGAAAGCACAACUACCGCUCCUGUAAUGUACACUGAAAGCAUACAAGGCAUAUCAACACUAUAGUUGCAAGGACAACGUUAAAGAAAGACUAGAAAGUAUAUAUGCCAACAACUGUACUAAUAGCUAUAUUGCGUUAACCGGACGAGAAGUACAAACGUACCCAAUCUAAAUCGCCCGUGUCGGUCUAAGGACCUCAGCAAAAGCCACUACUGCUCACACCUGGCCUGGUAACCCUAGCACAAAGGAGCACACCGCACUGCGGCUCACUGGUCGAUGUCGACACUAUUUCCGGAAAGAACACCCUCCUGCGGGGAUCACCCGCUUGGUGUACGUGAAAUGCACUCGAGCCUGUGGCGAUCAAUGCCGGAUAUGAUCAAUGUCAACCAAGAUCGGCGCAUCAGCCGCAAUCACUGCCCCCUCUGGGCAUACCGACCGUGUACGUUUCAUCAUAACAACCGUGACCGACGGAUAGCGUCAAAUGUACGCCGAAAGAUACGAACGACCAAACAGGUCACGAUGCAAAAUAGGAGAAGCGCCAACCAGGUCACAAGUAUAGUAUAUUAAGAAUAACCACCUCUAACUCUACCUAUAACAGUAUACUACACAUAGAACAAUCAGGCAGAAGUAAAUAAAGAAGUUAUGUAGUACUGCACGAUGUAACUAAAAGUACGAAGCAAGGAACUGACGAUAGCGUCACAGGAGUGUAUCGAUAUAGGUCCAGAACUACCGUCAGCACCAGCUGACACUCCUACCCCUCAGGGUAUUACACCGACCUCAAAGUGUCAUCGACGACGGAUCUCAUGAAGGCCUGACUUGGAUAGCGUCACAAAAUAUACCAAACAGUUUGAACUGACCGGUAAACCUAUAAUAAUACGUCGAGUUAGCCAAUAUCCCACCCCUUAGGGUAUUACCGCACCUCAAGGGUCAAUCGAACGAAGUACGAGAACCAACAACCAGUAGUUCAACAGGAUACUGAUAUGGCAACAACAAACAACUGAGUCAACGAUACUGAUGCAACAACAGACCAACCUGGUUCAACAGAUAACGAAAUGCAACAACCAACCAACUAGCAUCAACAGAUACUGCAUAUAUAAAGUAGAACUGCUCUUACUCCUAUCUGUAUACAAAGCGAUACAAACAGCGAGUAGUGUUAACGAAUACAACAAGGGUGCAAGGUCAAUUAUACUAUGGAUAGUAAAACAGAAGAGCAAGGGUAAGAAACCAUCACCAAGCGUGCACACUAGUACGACGUCGGAGUCGAAGUACCUACCGUUAACAAGCCUGAAACGCGAUCUCCGAAAGGCGUAGACGGAACGACCGGACCUACGAAGGGUCCACCGGUGUUAGAGUAUAACCCAAAAACACAAUAACACGACCUUCUCACACAAAUCCAAAUCAUACACCUCUUGAAAUCGGUUUCUCAAACGCAACUAGACACUAGCCGAGUGCUCGAAAUCGUACGAAACUUCCACCGCUCGGCCUCACCCGUCGUUUUCCGGACCCUCGAGAAGACGCGUGGACAGCCAACAAGGAUCAGCGACGCAUACAAUCAAACCACGAGCACCGUCGAUGAAUUCGAUGUCGGAAAAACGUUCUAUCGGCGCGAUUUUGCCGAAAAACGGUCCGGAAAUGGCGAUAUUGAUUUCCGCCAAGGCUUGGGGGCUUGACGAUCAGUCCAGAAGUUGUCCUGACCGCUUAACUUGUUGCAACAGCAUGCCACGACGAAGCGAAACGCAAAAGAUCCCUAACGGCACAUGAAAUCACAUUAUUUUAUGUGAUUUCAUGACUCCAACGGGUCGUACCAGCAAACCAGGAUCUCAGAGGUGCCAUCACAGCUUGUUGGCUAGGUUUAGCAUUGCCUGGCGUGCUCACUUCUCGAGAGCACUGCCGGCAGCAAACUACGCGCGCUACUGAGCGACGCGGAAACACAGCGAAACCAGCGGCGCCACAGCGCGACAGAUAGCACAUUACUCUCUAACAGGGCACCGUUAACCUAAAUGGAGGUGAGCAAUCGUGUUCACCAUGAGCAAACGAUUCAUCGUGCGUCACCUCUAGAGGUGUAAGGACUGAGAUUUUUACAGUUGCAACUAUAACUCUCUGUAGUUGCGAUGUUUAUGUGUGUUAUUUAAUAAUUAAGCACUCGUCAGUUUCAGGACGCAAAAUGAGCUAAAACGGAAAGUUACGCGAUUAUUAGUUUUCAUUUAACUGUGAAUAUUUAACUCGGUUUUUCGGGUGGAAGCACGCCAGUAGAGUUGGCUUUCUACGUGUAUCGGGACUCACGGUUCAUAAUCAGUUCCACAUAGCUUUUCACCGCGUUCAGCUGUUCUGAACUGAAUCGGACUGACGGAUUUGUGAGUUUGAGCACGGAUUUCGAGGAAAAUCAAAAAUACAUGUUUUAGAUGUAUUUUGUGUUUGCUUUCGAUUAGAAGAAAUGUUGGAUUUGCUCGUGAAUCCGUGGCGAUCGAGCGAUCGAAAUCGUAGUUGGUUGUCUCGAGGUGCUGAUCGACGGGUUGCUAUCCUGUUCGCAAAUCCUGACGGACGGCGAUCUCGGAGAUCGCGCGAUUGAUCGAGGGAGAGUAUCGGUGAUGCAAAACGGUAAAUUCGCAAAAUUGCGAAUUUUAUGUUACGCUUGCACGAGAUCGUAUGGAGUGCGUUACCGCGAUUGAACCCACUAUGAAGGACUAAGGUAUGAAAUACCAGAAGCCUUCGUGGUGUGACUAUUGUGCAAAAUUUGCACUCGGAUAUACAUGCCCCAAACCCACGAUGAUCGGUUUCCUAAAACCAACUAUCGUAACUCGCCGGAAGUCCCGAAAUCGCACCGGGACCCCGUCGGGACCCACGAACUGUCCCGGAACGUACCGACUCGUGCUACGAGUCAUCCGCUGCCACUAAACAUGAGUAAUCGUGUAUCAUGGCAGCAAACACCACUCCUUACGUCGAAACAAUUAUCGUCGAAUAAUCAUUUCGAUCCGGGUUCCCGGAAGUGUCUAUUUCGACACCGGAACCCACCGUCGCUCAUCCGUCAUUUCUGAACUCAUGAAAUGACGCGAGUGACCAGCCAAUAAGGCUCAACGACUAUACAAUAGCUCACGAAGCACCGUCGGAAUAAUUCCGAACCAAAACCGCGUUCCGUAGGCGGAUUUUGCCGACAAACGCACCGGAAAUACAUUUUCGGUCUUCGCAAAGGUCCGGGGCCUUGGACAAUCAGUCCAGAGGUCACCCCCAGCUCACCCAUGCUGCCAACAGCAGCCACGACAAAUCACAUUGCAUAAAAGCCCUUUCGAUUCCAAGAAAACACAUUAUUUCAUGUGUUUUUCGGGCUUUUAUGGUCCGUCUACGCAAACCAGAGGUCAAUCAGCCGAGCUAAGAUACCUACUUACAGAUUUCGACGUGCUGGAGGCUGUGCUCACCUUUCGGAGCACUGCCGACCACAGUGGAAAGCGCACAAGCAGUGUGAACUUCAGCAAAACAGCGCGCACUAUCACUUAAUCGCGUCAAACACGCAAACCGGGAAACCGUUGACCCCGACGGAGGUGAGCACGAUGUUCAGCACGAAGUAAGGAUCAUCGUGCUCACUUCCCGGAUCAUCGGAGUGUCCUCGGAUCACCAGAAAGGUGACCGGAACCCUAAACAACUAUGCUGGAACAAAACUAGCCUUACCGGAGCUUGGAGGAGCUAGGGCAGCACGACGGCGGCCGGACGGCGGGAGCUCCGGCGGCAGGAGGGUUUAGGCGAUGCAGGGAGGCCAAGGGAUGCAUCAGCCGGCGUCGGGAGGCGGCGGCGACGGCAGGCAUUGAUGCCCUAGUCACCCAACCCGAGGGAGGCAUCUGCCUAUUUCGGCUGACAGGAAGUUCCGGCGGCGGGGGCGCCGGCGGUGGACGAGUGCGGCCGGCCAGGCGGAGCCGGUGCUCGCGCCGGACGGUGGCGGAAGGCAGCGGCGGCGAUGCUGGACCAAACCGAGCCCACACGGGUUCACCACGGGCUCCAAAGGUAGCCGCGACCAAGGCGGCGACCGGAGGGAGGUCGGGGCGACGGCGGCAUGUCGCCGGAGGUCGAGGAAGGUCGGCGCACCAUGUGUCGGGUGGCGGCGACGCGCGGUGGUCGAGAAGACCAAGUCUCGGCCGUUCAAGGUUGGGCGGCCGCAGAAAGGGAGAGCGGCGGCCGGCGGUGUCGGGAGCGGCGGCGAUGGCGCGCGGGGGCACGCCGGAGGUCACCGGAGGGCGGCGCGACCGAUGGGGAACGGCGGUGGCGCGCGGAGGCAGGGAUCACCCAGGCUCGACCUGGGUGACUGCUGCUGGCCGCAGGGAGUUCGGGCAGCUCCGGCGUGGCACGGGGACGGCGGAGGCCGGCGGGGACCGCGCCGGGAAAGGGGUCUAGGCCGAGGGGAAGGCUUCCUAGGGUGGCUUGGAUCUUCUCUGAUGUCGAAGGCCGAAGGGGUGGUGGCACGGUGGAGGAAAGAGGUUGGCCAAGCAAUUCCGGCGGCCGGGGAAGCUCGCCGACGGCCGGGGUGCGCACACUGCUAGAGCAUGGACCUGCAGAUGGCGGCUAGGGCACAGAUGGGGCGCUGGGUCGAGUAGAUCUAGGGUUUCAUGCAUAGAAACCCUAGAUGCACAUUGAAAGAAGAUAUCGCCGCAGAAAGGGAGAGCGGCGCCGGCGGCGGAAGCGGCGGGGCGUGAUGCGCGCGCGGCACGCCGAAGGUCCCGCAGGCGUCGGCCGACCUGAUGGGGGUGGGAACCGGCGUGGCUGCCGAGCAGGGAUCACCUCAGUCUCACUGGGGACUGCGCCGAGGAGUUCGUGCAUCCGGCUUGGCACGGUACGCGAGCCGGCGGACCGCGCCGGGAAAGGGUCUACGCCUGAAGAAGUUUCCUAGUUAGUGGCUUGAUCUUCUCGAUUGAGCCGACAGGGUGGUGCACGGGAUGAAAAGUGGCCAAGAAUUCCGCGCGCGGGGAACUCGCCGACCGCCGGGCGCACACUGCAGAGCAUGGACUGCAAUGGCGCUAACACAGAUGGGCGCCUGUCGAUAGAUCUAUAGGUUCAUGCAUAGAAACGCUAGAUGCACAAGUAUAUCCGAGUGCAAUUUGCACAAAAUUCCACGAAGCAUUGGUGUUCAUACUAUCUCUCCAUAGUGUGCUUUAAACUCGUAACAGACCUCCAAAGACGAUCUCGUGCAAGUCGGUACAUAAAAUGCGCAACUGUUGCGAAUUACCGUUGCCAACACCGGCUCUCCUCGAUCUAGAUCGCGCGAUUCUCCGCAAUCCGUCCGUUGGGAUGUUGCAAUUAUCGACACGAUGCACCAAGGCGAUCAGCACCUCGGAGACAACAAAGCUAAUUCAUUUACGAUUCGUCUCUGAUCGACCACUAGAUUCACGACAAAAUCCAAACCUUCGUCCAGAUGCGGAAAGAAAACACACAAAAUACAUAAAACAUUAUUUUUAUAUUCGCGAAAUCCUACAUCAAACUCAAAAUCCGUCAGGCCAUUAGUUCCAGAACAGCGCUGAACCGUCGAAACCACUAUUGACCGAUAUGAACGAGUCGAAACACUAAAGGCCAACUCUAAUCGCGUGGCUUCACAUCGAAUAAACCGGAGUUACUUAUUCACUAAAGUGAUAAACUAAUAUCGCGUAAACUCUCCGUUUUAAGCUCAUUUUCAACCUAAACGUACAGUGCUUAUGUAAUAAAUUACACAGCAUUAAACACGUCAACAGAGAGUUUAGUUCAUACUGAAAAAAUCUCAUCCUACUAACAGAUAUAAUAUUUUUAGUAUUUUAUAUUAACACCGCUCAUUAUAUAUAUAAUAAAUUUACUAAUACAUUUAAUAUAAAUACACUCUUUUAAACUAUCAACUUUUUAACCCUUGAUGAAAAAUUGUAAGGUCAGAUGAUCAUUAGUCGUUAAGUGAGUGGUCCCCUAAGUUGAGUGUCCCCACUGGUUAUAGUAUUUAAUCCAAAUGGUUAGAAAAAUGAAAAAGUUAUCCAUAAGGCUAAAAAACAUAUACAAUAAUAAUUUGCUACUAAUAUACCCCAAUCCAACUAUAUAUAUAUAUAUAUAUAUAAUAUAUAUAAAAGAUAUAUUAUAUAUAUAAAAUAUAUAUAUAGUUGAUGUUCUGAAUACAAAAAAAAAAAAAAAAGAUAAAAUAAUAAAAUAUUGUAGCAAACGGCUCCGUCGCCAGCUCACAUUUUGUUUCGAUGAGUGAGCUUACCAAAUCGAUGAUUGCACUGUUGAAAAUGAUCUAUUACCACUUGAAAAAUUAGAAAUCAAAUUCAUACUUUUCGAUAAUUGUUCUGUCCAUCAAGUGGCGUAAAAAGAAGGCUAAAAAUAAUAUCAAUCUAAAAAGUGAUGAAGAAAAUUAUUGUUAAUCAUGACGACGAUAAUAGAUCUGCUCUAAUAUUUAAAGAUUUCUAACCAAAAUUCAAUUGAUUUGAUAAGCUUUACACCGUUAAUAAACCCCGAGAAAAAUUCCUCAUAACCAUUAAAAUCUACUAAUUUUGAAACCCUGAUUUCAUUAGUAAAUGAGUCUAAAAAUUUGAAAUAUUGAUUUCUAAUACUUCAGUGAUAUAGAUUCAUUUCAACGGCAGAUCGUCAUUGAAAGCUCCAUCAUCGAAAACAAUGUCAACGGAGCCCGUGCUACUUAAUACAACUAAGAUUUUCUAUACAGAACUGAUGCACGUUAAUAUAAUAAUUAUAAAUACUAUAAAAUUAUUAUGUAUAUAAUAAAAAGAUUUCUAAUUAAUNNNNNNNNNNNNNNNNNNNNNNNNNAUGUAUAUCCGAUGCAACUUUUGCACAUAAAGUCCAACCGACUUAAUACCGUAGUCCCCUCAUAGUGGGUUACAAUCGCGUAAAGCACCUCGCAUAAGAUGCAAGUCGUACAUAAAAUGUCGGCAAACUUUUUGCGAAAAGAUCUCUCCUUCGAUCAACGAGCGCGAAAAUAAACCGUCAAUUUACGAACGGAUGCGAAAAACCAAAGGUUUUUGGCCCCCGAAUCCCCAGCACCUCGAGACAACAAAGCUACGAUUUCGAUUCGUGCUCGAUCGACCACAGGAUUCAGACAAAAUCCAACCUUUAAUCGAAAGAAACACACAAAAUACAUAUAAAAAUGUAUUUUUAGAUUGUCGUCGGAAUCGCGUACAUCAAAACUCAAAAUCCGUCAGUGCAUUAGUUCCAGAACAAGGCGAACCGGCUCGAUCAAACGAGCUGAUUGGAAAAACGGAGUCCGAUACACGGUAGAAGGCCACUCUACUGCGUGGCUCACAACCGAAAAAACCGGAGUUAUCUAUCACUAAAGUGAAAACUCAUAAUCGGCGUAACUUAAUAAACAUUUUCCCUGAAAGCUUGACGAGUGCUUAUGUAUCUAAAUUACACACAUAAACAUCGUCAACAGAGAGCUUUAUAGUUGGCACUGUGAAAAAAUCCAGUCCUUACAUACAGAUUAAUUAAUAUUUUUAGUAUUUAUAUUCAAACACCGGCUUCUAUAUAUAAUAAUAUAACAUUGCGCUGGAAUACUAUUAAUAGUAAACACUCUUUUUACUAUCGAAUUUUUAACUAAGCCUUGAUGAAAAAUUGUAAGGGUCAGGAUGAUAUUAGUCGGUUGAGAGUUGAGUGGCUCCCCCUAGGCGUUGAUGCUCCGCCACUGGGUUACUAUAUUUAACUGCCAAUGGUGUUAGAAAAUAAUGAAAAGAGUUAUCCAAAGGGCCCUAAAAAAACUAGUAUGCAAUAAUGACGAUUUUGCUAACUAAUAAAGUAGCCCAGUCCAACUAUAUAUAUAUAUAUAUAUAUAUAUAUAUAUAAUAUAUAUAUAUAUAUAUAUAUAUAUAUAUAUUCAUGUGGAAUAACUAUUGGUAGCAAACGGGCUCCGUUGCCACCCAUUUGGUAUUUCGAUGAUGGAGCUCCCAAAUCGAUGACUUGGCACUGUUAGAAAAUGAUCUAUACCACUUGAAAAUAUCUAGAAAUCACAAUUCAUACUUUCGAUAUUCGUUCUUCUUGUCCAUCAAAGUGGCGUAAAAAGGAAUGCUGAAAAUGAAUAUCAUCUAAAAAGUGAUGAUAGAAAUUUUGUAAUCAUGAUCCGACGAGUAUACGAUCUUGCCUAAAAUAGUUUAAAAAGAAUUUCUAACCCAAAAUUCAAUUGAUUUGGAUCAGCUUUACACCGUUAAGCACGAGAAAUUCCUCAUAAUCAACCCUUACAAAUUACAAUUUGAAAACCCUUUUGAUCAUUAGGUAAAUGAUGCUCGAAAAGAUUUGAAAAUUUGAUUCUAGAUACCUCAAGUGAUAGCCGAUCAUAGUCAACCGGUGGCAGACUCGUUCGAUUGAAAGCUCCAUCACCCCGAAAAACAAAAAUUGGGGUGGCCGGAGCCCGUUGCUACUUAAAUACAGCUAAUUUUUCACCCGUGCAUCAAGUUAAUAUAAUAAUAUAGAAUACUAAAAUUAUUAUGUGAUGAUAAAUAAAAGAUUUUCUAAAUUAUAUUUAUAUUUUUAACGAAAUAAAAAAAAUAUACUAUCAAAUCUUAAUUAUAGUACAUAUAAAGUACACAAGCUAGAGAAAAAAAAUUGGACGGCAAAGUAAUUUCAUAAAAUAGAACAAAAAAAAAAACAAAAUUCAAUCCUGCUUUAUAUCUAUGAAUUGGUAUGCAAACAAUUUACAUUUACAUAUUGAUGUGGGCGAAAUAAAAUGAUAACUAAAAUUGAUAUGAAAAAUUACAAAUGACAUUAAAUAUUUAAGUAUAUAAGAGAUCAACUAAACUUUAUAUUUACACAAAUUAGAAUAAGCACACAGUAUAUAUGGUUCCUUGUCGCUUUUAAGAUUCAAAUACAUAGAUUUGGUUUUCAAAAAAUAAUAAAAAAAAAAUUUUGUUGCAUGACAGAUGAAAAGUUACAUGAGUGACAGAAGGAAAAAAAAAUUACGAAAAUGAAAAUUACAGAAGUGACAGUAAGGGAAUAAUAUGUUCUAUUUAAAGAGCAUCAAAUAUUAUAAAGCGAAGAAAAAAACGAAAUGAUGUUGAGUUCUAAAAUUUUUUUCUCUUUUCAAAAAAAUGUUCUCUAUCUUAUUAUUAAAAUAUUUUAUGUCCAGAAAUUUUCAACACAAUCAUUUUAAUAAUUAACUAAGUAAUUAAUUUAUUCCCAAUAACAGAUAAAUAUUUUUCUUGUCAGCAGGCGUAAUAUCCACACCGCCAAUAUCUUUCGUGAAUAAAAAACAUAAUAUCCAUAAUUUCCUCAAAAUAUCUCAUAUAAUUAUAUGGUGACUUUAAAAUAAAUUCCUAUCAUUAAUAAUAUAGUAAAAAUAUUAAUUAAUUUUAUAAUUAACGUGAGUUUGAAUUUUUUUUCCUUUCCAAAAAUGCUUAUUUUUUUUACAAUAUUUUAUGUCCAGAAAUUUUCGAAGCCAAUCAAUUUCAAAUAAUUAACAUAUAUAAUUAUUUUUAAAUAAAGAUAAAUAUUUCUCCUCAUGCAUCAAUAUCUGCAGCCGAUCAAUAUUUUUUGCCACAUAAAUUCGUGAAUUUUAAAUAUCUUAACAAUAAUGAUAGAUUACUUUGAAUAGAUUUCUUCUCAUUAUAGGUGAUUUUAAUAAUAUAGCAAAGAUAUUAAUUUUUUACCAUAAGAUGUUAUCUAAAUGAUUGAAAAAUAAAAAUAUACUGUUUAAUUAUUUUGUGACAAUAUACCCUCUCAUCUUGUAUCCUAUUUUCUAUCUUUUCUAAAAUAAAUAUUUUAUUUGAAACUUGACAGUAAGAUUAUUUUCCUAAAGCAGUAAUUUCCGCACUGAUCGCCAAUCUUUUGCGCGAUAUGCGGGAAGGUAUUAGUGAUUGGAUAUUAUAUAGGCUGGUGGGAUAUUAUGUGUGAGAAAAAAAAUGUGGCCGCGGUUAAUUACACAUGCAUAUAAAAAGUGAAAAUUUGAUACAUACUUUUGAGGGCAAUUUAGAUAAAAAAAAUGAUAGAUAUUUUGAUUGCGUCAAUCAAUAGAUUUUAUUGACUAAAAUGUAAAUAUAUUUUAUAAUAUCCCUCCUCGUGGUCCUACUUAAAUAAAAUAUCUAAUAUUUUAAAUUGAGAUAACUUUUAUAUAUUCUACUUUAAAAAUAUGAUUAAAUAUUUAAUGUAAAUAUUUGUAUAAUGUUUUAAAUACCAUAUCCAAUAUUCUUAAAUAUUGGUAGGUAAAAGUACGGGUAACUUUUUAUAAUUUUCGAUUUUUUCGCAACCAAAGUCAUUUCAAAUAAUUUGCAAGCAGAUUAUUGCGUAAUAAUUCCGUAACCAAUAAUUUAAUAAUUAAUUAAAUUUCCAAUACGAAAAUUUUGAUUUACCAUUUUUUUCGAACUAACCAUUUCAAAAAUUCGCAACAAUUAUUUCUUAUUCCGCAACCAAUUAAUUUUUUCAAAGGCACCGUCAAUCAUUUCGUUUUUACUUUGUAAUACUAUACGAUUUUUUUGCAACCAAUCAUUCGAAAUAAUUCGCGAACAGAUUUUGGCGUAUUUGCAACCAAUAAUUUUAAAAUAAUGAAUUAUUUGCGCAAUUACAAUUUGAGUUUGACCUUUUUUUUCGGGCAAACUAACCAUUUCAAAUAUUCGAAACAGAUUAUUGGCUUAUUCGCACCGAUAAUUUUAAUAAACAUAGGAAAUUUGAGUUUGAUUUUUUUUUUCGGCUACUAACCAUUUCAAAAUAAUUCGGCAACAGAUUAUUGAUUAUUUCGCAACCAAUUAAAUUAAAUAAUUAACUUAUCUGCCAAUACAAAAUUGAGUUUUGCCAACGAGAUUAUUUCCACGCGAAAAAUAAUUCCGGCACAGAUUAUUACUAUUUCGCAACGCAAUAAUUUAAAAUUAAUUAAUUAAACCAAUAAUUUCAAAAUAAUCUCGUACGCAAAAUAUCCAUAUUUGUGUUUACACGUGCAACAUAUAGAAAGCCACGUGUCAGCUUCUCACAUAGAUUAUAUAAGAGUUCUACCCUUUAUAUAUAGGGUAAACAGAUUUAUUACGUAUUUCGGCACCAUAAUUUAAAUAAAUAUGAAACCAAAUAAUUUCAAAAUAAUUCGUAACGGCAAAAUUCAUAAUUUGAUUUGACACGUGGCAAGUAUAUAGAAAGCCACGUGUCAGCUUCGUCAACAAGGAUUCAUUAAGGAUUCUACUUUAUAUAUAGUAAUAGAUUCCAGCUCAACUCUAUAAUAUAUAUAUAUACAUAGAGAGAGAGAGAGAAGAGAGAGAGAAGAGAGAGUAAGGUACUAGUGUUCUGGAAGCACGAAGCCUUUAUACUGUCCAGGUCCGUUUCAAUAUUUGCGUACUUCGAAUCGUCGAUCGACUGCCCGUUAAACUGAUUAGAGUAUUUGAAGUACCAUAGAAAAUAAAUUAUGCGAUUUUUUCGAAUAUAUUGCCUAGUGAACAGAAGGGGCUUAAAAUCACGCCCUGAAAAAAAAAAUCUUACAAAACGUAAUAAUAUUGACAUUAAAAUUUUAAGAUCAAAGAUAUCGAACUCUUAUUUUAUAUAGGUAUAAAGAAUUUUCUAUCAAAAUUCAACAUGAUUUGAAUCUAUUUCAUACUUUAAACUUCCAACCUCACUACGGCCAUAAAAAUUAUUGAUUUUGAGGACCCUUCGAUCACUAGGCAAAAUGAUGAAAAAUCAUAAAAAUUUAUUUUCUGAUACUUCAAUAUGAUCUAGAAAUCCAAGUUAACGGAGCCGAUCGACGAAAAUUGGAAAGUCGCAACAUCAAAAACGACCUGGAAGCAACGGAGGGCUCUGUACUUCCAGAAGCAUAGUAGGCCUUAUACGAUAUAUAUAUAUAUGGUUAUUGCAUACACGUCCCUGCAACAUAGUGAAGUGAAAAUACCCGCUCAAACGGAAACUUCCAUAAGUUGUCGCGCAAAAGUCCUAAGUUAUGCAGAUGUGUCCUACCGGUUAAGUCAUCCGUUAUGAUUGUUUUUUUUUUAACAGUGGAUUUGUGAAAUACUAUUUUACCACUCAGCAAAUAAUAUGCCCUCGCAAAAGUUUUUCUCUUCCCUUCUCUCUCUUCCUCUUCGAACCGUCGAAGCGGACCGACGCGGCGGCGGCGCGGGAUCGGGUUCGGCGCGCGAGAAGAAAGAAGGGAAAAGAAAAAACCCGCCGGGAGCCCCCCCCCCGCCCCCCCACGGAGCUUACUAGCCCGAGGCCUCUCGCCCUCAACGGCCAUCCCCUCCCUCGUCGCCCUCGGCCAACGACAACAUCGCCGACAUCGCCGGUCGACGGUCGUCACCCCCUCACCGACCUCACCGCCGACGGUCCGUUCUUGUGACCACGACGACCCCGUGCGCCAAGAGCACCUCGUCGCCGCCCAUCAGCGACAACAACGCCCCGAGCUUCUUGUCGCAGAGAAUCGCAGGUCAGCGCUUUCGAGGCGAACCCGAGAGGUUCUUCUCAACCUCCCGCGUGACGAAGAAGACGGGAAGAGCAUGGAAGGAAGAAGGAGGAAGGAAGAAGAAGGGAAAAAAAGGAAGAGGGAAGAAGGAAAAGAAGAGGUUCGCGCGCACCGUCCGCGCGCCGGCCGGCAUCUCCUCCGGCGGCGACGAAGAAGAAAGGAAAAGGAAAGAUGAGAAAGAGGAAGAAGGGUAAAUACGGCAAUUCAACACUAUAAUUAACCAUGGUUAUAUUUUUUAACAAAUAAAAAAAUAUACUAUCAAUCUUAAUUAUAGUACAUAUUAAAGUACACAAGCUAGAGAAAAAAAAAUUUGGACCAAAGUAAAUAUUCAACUAAAAUACAAAAUUCAAUCCUGCUUUAUUAUCUAUGAAUUGGUAUGCAAAACAAUUUACAUUUACAUAUUGAUGUGCGAAAUAAAAUGAUAACUAAAAUUGAUAUGAAAAAUUACAAAUGACAUUAAUAUUUAAGUAUAUAAUGAGAUCAACUAAACUUUCAUAUUUGACACAAAUUAGAAUAAGCACACAUAUAUUAUGUUCCUACUGUCGCUUUUAAGAUUCAAAAAUACAUAGAUGUUGGUUUUCAAAAAAAUAUAAAGAAAAAAAAUUUUGUUGCAUGAAGAUGAAAAGUUACAUGAGUGACAGAAGGAAAAAAAAUUACGAAAUGAAAAUUACAGAAGUGACAGUAGGGAAAUAAUAUGUUCUAUUUUAAAACAUCAAUAUUUAAGAGCGAAGAAAAUUACAGAAGUGAUGUGAGUUUAAAAUUUUUUUCUCUUUUCAAAAAUGUCUCUAUCUUUUUUAUUAAUAUUUUUAUGUCCAGAAAUUUUCAACCAAUCAUUUUAAAUAAUUAACUAAGUAAUAAUUUAUUCCCAAAUAAAGAUAAAUAUUUUUCUUCUCACGCGUAAUAUCCACACCGCCAAUUCUUUCGUAACAUAAUAUCCAUAAAUUUCUCAAAUAUCUCAACAUAAUUAUAGGUGACUUUGAAAUAAAAUUUUCUUCAUUAUAUGUGAUUUUUAAUAAUAUAGUAAAAGAUAUUAAUUUUUAUAAAAAACGUGAGUUUUGAAUUUUUUCUCUUUCCAAAAAUGUCUCUAUCCUUUUUUACUAAUAUUUUUAUGUCCAGAAAUUUUCAACCAAUCAUUUCAAAUAAUUAACUAAGUAAUAAUUUAUUCCCAAAUAAAGAUAAAUAUUUUUCUUUUCACGCGUAAUAUCCACACCGCCAAUUCUUUCGUAACAUAAUAUCCAUAAAUUUCUCAAAUAUCUCAAUAUAAUUAUAGGUGACUUUAAAAUAAAAUUUCCUUCAUUAAUAAUAUAGUAAAAGAUAUUAAUUAAUUUUUUAUAAUAACGUGAGUUUUGAAUUUUUUUUCUUUCCAAAAAUGUCUUUAUCUUUUUUUACUAAUAUUUUUAUGUCCAGAAAUUUUCAACCAAUCAUUUCAAAUAAUUAACUAAGUAGUAAUUUAUUUUUAAAUAAAGAUAAAUAUUUUUCGAAAGAAAAAAAAUUCAAAACUCACCUUUUUUUACUAAUAUUUUUAUGUCCAGAAAUUUUCAACCAAUCAUUUCAAAUAAUUAACUAAGUAGUAAUUUAUUUUUAAAUAAAGAUAAAUAUUUUUCUUCUCAUGCAUAAUAUCUGCACCGAUCAAUUUUUUUGCCACAUAAUAUUCGUGAAUUUUUUAAAUAUCUUAACAUAAUUAUAGAUGACUUUGAAAUAAUUUCUCCUUCAUUAUAGGUGAUUUUUAAUAAUAUAGCAAAAGAUAUUAAUUUUUUACCAUUAGAUGUUAUCUAAUGAUUGAAAAUAAAAAUAUAUGUUAAUUUUUGUGACAAUAUUACCCUCGCAUUUGUAUCCUAUUUUCUAUCUUUUCUAAAAUAAAAUAUUUAUAUUUGAACUUGACACGUAGAUUAUUUUUCCUAAAGCAGUAAUAUCCGCACUCGCCAAUUCUUUUGCGCGUAUAUGCGGAAGGUAUUAUGUGAUUGGAUAUUAUAUAGGUGGUGGAUAUUAUGUGUGAGAAAAAAAAAAUGUGGGCGACGGUUAUUACACAUGCAUAUAAAAAGUGAAAUUUGAUACAUACUAUUUGAGGGCAAUUUAGAUAAAAAAAAUGAUAGAUAUUUUGUAUUCGUCAAUCAAUUAGAUUUAUUGACUAAAAAUUAAUAUAUUUUAUAAUAAUUUAAAUAAAAUAUCUAAUAUUUUAAAUUUGAGAUAACUUUUAUAUAUUCUACUUUUAAAAAAUAUGAUUAAAUAUUAUAUAUGUUAAUAUAUUUUAUAAUGUUUUAAAUAAAAUAUCCAAUAUUUUAAAUAUUGGUAGGUAAAAGUACGGGUAACUUUUAUAUAUUUCCGAUUUUUUCGCAACCAAUCAUUUCAAAUAAUUUGCAACAGAUUAUUGCGUAUUUCGUAACCAAUAAUUUUAAAUAAUUAAUUAUUUGCCAAUACGAAAUUUGAGUUUGACCAUUUUUUUCGCAACUAACCAUUUCAAAUAAUUCGCAACAGAUUAUUGCUUAUUUCGCCACCAAUAAUUUUAAAUAAACAAUACGAAAUUUGAGUUUGAUUUUUUUUUUCGCAACUAACCAUUUCAAAUAAUUCGCAACAGAUUAUUGAUUAUUUCGCAACCAAUAAUUUUAAAUAAUUAAUUAUCUGCCAAUACAAAAUUUGAGUUUGCAACAGAUUAUUUCCACCGCUGAAAAAUAAUUCGCAACAGAUUAUUACGUAUUUCGCAACCAAUAAUUUUAAAUAAUUAAUUAAACCAAUAAUUUCAAAUAAUUCGUAACCAAAUAUCCAUAUUUGUGUUUGACACGUGGCAAGCAUAUAGAAAGCCACGUGUCAGCUUCUCACAUAGGAUUCAUUAAGGGUUCUACUUUUAUAUAUAGUAAACAGAUUAUUACGUAUUUCGCAACCAAUAAUUUUAAAUAAUUAAUUAUCUGCCAAUACGAAAUUUGAGUUUGACUUUUUUUUUCGCAACUAACCAUUUCAAAUAAUUCGCAACAGAUUAUUGAUUAUUUCGCAACCAAUAAUUUUAAAUAAACAAUACGAAAUUUGAGUUUGAUUUUUUUUUUCGCAACUAACCAUUUCAAAUAAUUCGCAACAGAUUAUUGAUUAUUUCGCAACCAAUAAUUUUAAAUAAUUAAUUAUCUGCCAAUACAAAAUUUGAGUUUGCAACAGAUUAUUUCCACCGCUGAAAAAUAAUUCGCAACAGAUUAUUACGUAUUUCGCAACCAAUAAUUUUAAAUAAUUAAUUAAACCAAUAAUUUCAAAUAAUUCGUAACCAAAUAUUCAUAUUUGAGUUUGACACGUGGCAAGUAUAUAGAAAGCCACGUGUCAGCUUCUCACAUAGGAUUCAUUAAGGGUUCUACUUUUAUAUAUAGUAAUAGAUUCCAGCUCAACUCUAUAUAUAUAUAUAUAUAUAUAGAGAGAGAGAGAGAGAGAGAGAGAGAGAGAGUAAGGGUACUAUGCUUCUGGAAGCACGAAGCCUUUUAUACUUCCAGGUCGUUUUCAAUAUUGCGACUUUCGAAUCGUCGAUCGACUCCGUUAAACUUGAUUUAGAGUAUUUGAAGUACCUAGAAAAUAAAUUAUGCGAUUUUUCGAUAUUAUUUGCCUAGUGAACGAAGGGGCUUAAAAUCAACGGCUGAAAAAAAAAAUCUUACAAAACGUAAUAAUAUGACAUUAAAAUUUUAGAUCAAAGAUAUCGAUCUUAUUUUAUAUAGUAUAAAGAAUUUUCUAUCAAAAUUUCACAUGAUUUGAAUAUUUCUAUACCUUUAAACUUCCAAACGGCUCACUACGGCCAUUAAAAUUAUUGAUUUUGAGCCCCUUCGAUCACUAGGCAAAUGAUAUCGAAAAAUCAUAAAAUUUAUUUUCUAGAUACUUCAAGUACUCUAGAUCAAGUUUAACGGAGCCGAUCGACGAUUGGAAAGUCGCAACAUCAAAAACGACCUGGAAGCACGGAGGGCUCUGUACUUCCAGAAGCAUAGUAGCCUUAUACUAUAUAUAUAUAUAGGGUUAUUUGCAUACACGUCCCUGCAAACAUAGUGAAUUGUGAAAAUACCCCUGCAAAACGGAAACUCCAUAAGUUGUCCCUGCAAAAGUCCUAAGUUAUGCAGAUGUGUCCCUCCGGUUAACAUCCGUUAGUGAUUUGUUUAUUUUUUAACAGUGGAUUUGUGAAAUGACUAUUUUACCCUCACAAAUAUAUCCCUCCAAAAGUUUUUCUCUUCCCUUCUCUUUCUCUUCCUCUUCGGACCGUCGAAGCGGACGACGGCGGCGGCGGCGCGGGGUCGGGUUCGGCGGCGACGAAGAAGAAGGAAGAACGCCGGGGCACCGGAGCUCUACCCGGAGCUCGUCGCCCUCAACGCCAUCCCCUCCCUCGUCGGCCUCCUCGGCCACGACAUCGCCGACAUCGCCGUCGACGUCGUCACCCUCCUCACCGACCUCACCGACGCCGACGUCCUCGUCGACCACGACGACCCCGCGCACGCCCUCGUCGCCGCCCUCGUCGACAACAACGCCCUCGAGCUUCUUGUCCAGAAAUUCGCUCGCCUUUCCGAGGCCGACCCCGACGAGGUUCUUCUCCCUCGCCGGUGACGAAGAAGAGGGAAGAGCAAGAGGAAGAAGGAGGAAGGAAGAAGAAGGGAAAAAAGGAAGAGGGAAGAGGAAAAAGAAGAGGGUUCGCCACCGUCACCGCCGUCGCCGCCGCAUCUCCUCGCCGGCGACGAAGAAGAAGGAAAAGGAAGAGGAGAAAGAGGAAGAAGGGUAAAUACGUCAAUUCACACUAUAAUUAACCAUGGUUAAGUAUUUUAACUGUGGUUAAUGAAAAUUUUCUAACAGAUCUGGAUGGCAGGAACAUACCUGUAUAACUUAGGACUUUUGCAGGGACAACUUAUGGAGUUUUCGUUUUGCAAGGAUAUUUUCGCAAUUCACUAUGUUUGCAGGGACGUGUAUGCAAAUAACCCACAUAUAUAUAUAUAUAUAUAUAGCUAGUCUCCUAUACUAUCUAUAUUACUGGGGCUCCGGUACUAUAAUCUCGUUUUCGAUUUUAGAGUUUUCAAAUCAAUGAUUCACACAGUUAAAACUGAUUUAGGAUAUUUAAAGUUUUAGAAAUAAAAUUUUAUAUUUUUUCGACAUAGUUUACUUUAUGAUCAAACAAUUCCAAAAUUAUCAAUUUUCAAUGGCUAAUAUGGCGAGUUUGGAGUUUAACGAUGUAGAAGAAUCUAAAUUUCUUCAAAUUUUAAUAGAAAAUACUUUAAACUAUUUAGAUUGAGGUUAACGUUCUUGAUCUUCAAUUUAAAAAUCAUAUGCUCAAAUUUUAAAGAUUAUUCAAUUUUCACUGUCCAUUUUGACAUAAUUUAUUUACUAAGUAAACGAUGUCGAAAAAAACUAAAAUUUUAUUCCUAAAAACUUUAUAUAUCCUAGAACAUAUUUAACGGUGUGAAUCAUUAGUUUGAUCACCUUAAGAUCGAAAUAAAGACUAUAGUACCGGAGCUCCGGUACUAUAGAUAGUAUAGUAGCCUAAUUCUAUACUAGUGUAGGCCAGGCCCGCGCUUCGCGGCGGGUAGAUAAUAUUUUAGCAAAUUUAUAUAUUUUAAUUUAUAUAAAUUUUAAUAAAUAUUUUGUAGUAUUUCAAUAACUUUAAAAAUUUUAAUUUAUACAAAUUUUAAUAAAUAUUUUGUUUAAUUAACUAUAAUUAAUCAUAAUUAAAAAAUAAUUUUAAGUUGUCUAUUUCAAAGUGUUUAAUAGUUGUAUAAGAUUUUCUAAACUUUUAAUUUUUUGACUAAAAUAAUUUUAUCAAAAUUUUAUAAAUUAAUUAAAUUUAUUUGUAGGUUCACAGGAUUUAAUAAUUUUAAUAAUUAUCUUUGAUCAUUUUAAUUUAACUAAGCAUAAAAAUUAAAAUUAAAAAAUUAGAAAUUAUAAUUAAAGGGUAUCUAUAUUUUUUUACCUAUAUUAAAGGAAAUGAUACUAUUUGUUAUACCGGGUGUAAAAGUAAAUUUUGUGUACUUUAUUUUAAAAAAGCUGAUAUAAAAAUUUAAACUGUAAUAAGUAAUUUUUUAUAUAGAGGCUUCCUAUAGAGUAUAGAUCGCAUUGAAAUUAUAUUUUAAUUUUAUAAUAUUAAUUAUUCAAAAUUAGGGUUGGUAUAUGUAAUAUUUAUAGACUGGGUGUAGACAACUUAUUUAUAGAUGAGGAAUGGGUUGGGAGGAGAAUCAUUGCAUGCUCCGGAUGUAUAUUAUUUCUUAAACACCAUAUUGAUAUAUAACUAUUUUUGAAAUUUAAACUCUAUAAUAUUUGGUACAUAAACUGAUUAUCUCUUUAUAUUAUGUAGAUUAUAUAUGCUAAAUUAUAUUUUAAUUUCAAAUUAAGAAAAAAAUUCGGUGCAUGUUAUAUUAUUGUAGACCAGGUGUUUUCAAUUUUUCUUGAAGUGAAUAUAGGAGAAUGGAGAGGACAGGGAUCACCUCCAUAGCCAAUGAUAUGAUGGAACUCUCCUUUAAUAUAAAGUAAGUAUAUAUCUUUUCCCAAAUUAAAAAAAAACAUAAUAUUAGAUAGUAAGUAAAUCAGUGUGAUGCACAGAAACAUAAUAUUAGAUAUUAACAAAUAAAAAUUUAUAUUUACUAUGGUGAUAAAUAUUAUGUUGUUACUAUUUUUUAAAGCUAGUUUUUUUUUUUUUUUUGUAAGAAAAAUGAAAUAAAAAUAACACAACUAUCAAAUCGAUGUUAAAAAAGCUUAACAAUUUUAACAUGUUGAUAUUUUAAAUAAAUCAAAAAAAUUAAAAUCUCAAUAAAUAUAAAAUCACACAAAAAAAUAUCUAAAAAUAUGCAAAUUAAUAGAAAAAUGAUGACAAAAUCAAACUAAAAUAAUUGCAUAAGGUAUGUAAAAUUUAAAUGUAUCAAAUAUAAUACCGGAGAUUAUUUUUCGCCUAUAUAAAGUAUACACUAUAUCAUAUAUGGGUGAUAAUAAAUUAUCUAUAGAUGAACAUAUCAAAUCUUUGUGGCAUAGUAUAUUAAAAAUUAAUAUGAUCUUUGCUUCCUGAAGGAAAAAAAAGAAAAAAAAUAAAGAAAAAAAAAAUUGGUUAACUUACACUUAAGUCUUUAAUUGAUUAUCUUAUUCUCUAUCAAAUGAAUAAGGUAAUCUACUAUGUUGGGAAAGCAAGAAAAAAAAAAAGUAUUAUUGACCAAAAAUUUGACAAAUUUUUUAUUCUACUCUAGUGGAUAUUUAUAGUGCACUUAUAAUUAAAAAUUUUUGUAACCGUUAUCUAUGCAAAAUAAGAGACAAUAUAGAAAAGAGUAAAUGGCGGAUUUAAUUCUCACAUUUAAUUUCUAUUGGAAAUUUUAUUUAAAUACUCCACUCCUAGAAAGAAAAACGGUCAAACUAAAUAUGCAUUAAUUUAGAGAUUUUUAUUUGUUUAAAGAAGAGCAUGAAGCACUAAUUAUUUUCAGUUACUAAUUACUUUAUAUAUAUGAAAACGUUGGAUUAUUAUGAGAAUAAAGGGUUUGGUUUAAGGAGAGGUUAUGAGAAUGAAGUUCCUAGAAAGAAAAACGGUCAAAUUAAAUGUGCAUUAAUUUAGAGAUUUUUAUUUGUUUAAGUUACUAAUUAUUUUAUAGAGGGUUUGGUUUAAGGAGAGGUUAUGAGAAUGAAGCAUAGCUUGCCACGUGGCAAAAGAUAUUGAGGUUUCAUAUAGGUUUAUAGAUAUAUAUAAUAAAACUUGUGUGCUAUUAGGAGCAUAGAGACCUUCAUGCUUCUAAGCUAUUUUCAAUAAUGGGACUUUCGAAUCAAUGAUUGGCUCCAUUAGACUUGAUCUAGCAUAUUUGAACUAUUUAGAAAAUAAUUUUUUUUGAUUUUUUAUAUCAUUUUUCUAGUAAUCGAAAGGAUGCCAAAUAGAGCCUUGUGACAUAGCGCAUUUUUGUAUCCUUUGUGUUAAAUUAUACGUAACAUAAAAGUAUUGUACUUUAAUAGUAUAAACUUUUAGAGAAUAAUGAUUAUUCAAUAUAACUUAAUAUGACGCCCCAACUCUCCAAAAGGUCACCCAUCCUAGAACUACUCAGUUUCUAACACGCUUAACUUUUUUAACUUUUUGGGUCUAGCCAUCACUCAAAAUGCUUAGCCGGAUUAAGAGUUUUAGUUCUAUUAUAUCUUAUAUAUAAGACUAUCUGGAAUCUCACAUUUUUUCCCCUAAAGUCCUGACGUCUUCGUCAGGCUCAGAAUCACAAAUAUCAGAUAAUAUGAGAUUCGUCUAGCUAGUCUAAACCGACAUUGUUGUGAGCUGCACUCCACCCACAAUAGUCAACAGUAUAAAAGUCUCAUUCUCCUAGCUGUAUAAUUCUAACUUAGCCGAGACUCAUCUUACACUUCCGGCUGGUAAUAGGCUAUGAUACUAACUGUGACGUCCUAGCUUUUCAAGGAAUCACCCAUACUAGGACUGCUCCCGUUGUAGCACGCUUAACUCUCUUAACACCUUGAGUUUAGCGACCGCCCAAAAUACUUAAACCGGAUUGAAAUUUUGGCUAAAUUACAGAAAACCCCCCUGUCAAAAUCUGAUUUUUCACUUCCCCCCCUAUAUUUAAAAACCUGCACUUUGCCCUCCUGAAAAAUGAGAAAUGUUCACAGGGGGAUNGUUGAAGAAAAAUCUAACAGAGAUCAAAGAUGAGAUAAAUAAUUUUUUUAUUAGGAACAGAACUAUAUAAUUUUUUUUUAAUGAAAUUUUGGCUAAAUUACAGAAAACCCCCCUGUCAAAAUCUGAUUUUUCACUUCCCCCCCUAUAUUUAAAAACCUGCACUUUGCCCUCCUGAAAAAUGAGAAAUGUUCACAGGGGGAUACACCGUGAGAAAAUGACCAAAAUGCCCCCACCAUCUUCGUCUUCUCCCCCAACCUCGCUCAGUCGUCGCCCCACCUCUUCCGUUCUUCGCGCCUCGCUCAACCGCAGCUCCGACUCCAUUUUCCUCCACAUGCUUCCCCACUCUUCCUGCACUCGCGUUGCCUGCCCAUUUCGGCGAUGAUAGGGAAGAAAUCGGAGUGGUCAUGGAUGGAGAGGCAUGCGAGGGCAAGCAGCGGAGAAGGGCGAAGGGGAUGUGGGUGACGGCAAGGGCGAAGCAGUGGAGCUAGGAGGGCGAGGCGGCGAGGCGGUUGUGAGGCGGAGGGAGGCGAAGCAACAUAGAAGAGGGCCGAGGGGCAUUUUUGGCAUAAAAAAUAUUUUUUAACGGAACCCUAACGGUAGGGGAUGAAGUGCACAUUUUUUAUUUUUCAAGAGGGCAAAGUGUAGGUUUUUAAAUGACAGGGGGAAAAGUAAAAAAUCGUGUUUUGACAGGGGAAUUUUCUGUAAUUUAGCCUACUAUUAUAUCUUAUAUAUAAAACUAUCUGGAGUCUCACAUUUUCACACAGUAGUUGGGCUAACAAUCCAACUCGCAAUUCGCAAGCCAGCUCGUGUUUGACUCAUUUAUUAAUGAGCCGAGCAUAAGCUAGAUUUUUUAGCUCAAUAUUUUAACCAGCUAGCUCGUGUUCAACUCGUUUAAUAAAUGAACGAAUAUGAGCCGAUUUUAGUUCGCUCGUAUUCAGCUCGUUGAUAGCCCUAGUGUAGUAUCAAAAUAAUUUCAGAACAACUAAAUUUAUUUGGGCUAUUUCAUCAAAUACCCUAAGAAAUACUAAAAAAAUUAUUCUAAUCAAAUAGGAUUAUUCUAAGGAAAUCUAGAAUAACUUGGAAAUAACUUCCACCAAAUCAGCAAAAGGAGACGUACUUUUUUCAUCCUUGUACUUAGCUAACUAAAAAUAAUUAAUAUAAGAGAAAAUAAUCAUAUUGGUAUAGUAGUACAUAACAGUAGUAGUAGUAGUAAUUGUUGGGAACCGGAUGGAUCGUCCGUCGUGCGCUAUCAACAAAGAUGCACGAAAAAUAAAGAAAACACCAAACGACGGUAAAAGAAAUAAAUGCAGAAAGAAGAAACCAAAAUUUACGUGGUUCGGCAAUUGCCUACGUUCACGGGAAGAGCGAGAGAGAUGUAUUUCACUAUAUGAAAAAAUAAAAGUACAAACUUACACCUUAUAUCUUUUCCGGAUAAAAACCAAGAACCUAAAGUGAAUUUCACCUUUCUCUUGUUCCAAUGAAAACUCCAAGAAAAUACCGGAAAAAGCUUUUCGUAAAACCGAGAAGACCAAAUUAGAAAAGUAUAGAAACUCUAACCAAAUUCCUUUAUCCCGUUGUUUCAAAGAAUCCGAACCGCUCAAGCAAUUUGAUUGAGAACCACCGCUCCGCCACCGACUUCAAUCCGUUGCAUGCGAGCUACCGUGCAUCUCUUGUCACUACAACAAAAACGGUCUAUAGCGGCACUUUUAAAUAUAUGUACAUGUCAAAAAAGUGCUGCUAGCUAAAAUUACCGAUACUUUUAAAAAGUGUUACUAUAUGUGGGGUCGCUAAGUAUAUAGUGACAGUUAAAGAGUAUCGCUAUAACCUAAAAGAGUGCUACUAAUUUACCAACACUUAUUUAAGCAUUUAGCAACCGUCGAAACUCAAUCUCAUUGGCUGCGGUGGAGGAGGAGGACGACAGGAAAGGCUCUUCGUCUAGAAUUUCAAUGGAUUGAGUAAAGAGAGAAGAAAAGAUGGCAAUUGAUUUUUCUUUUUUUUUCUUUUCUAUUUGUAAUUGGGGCAAAUAGACUGGGUGUGGUGGGUUGAGUAGAGUAAUCUUUUAUUUUUAAUUGGAUUGGGCUUUAUAUUUAGGCAUUAGUAAAUAUUUUUUUAAGUUUUAAUAUAAAUAGGACACUUACUCAAAAGUGUCCCAAAUAUGUAUCCCUAUAAUCUAGUUCUGUUGUAAUGUGUUGCCGUACGGCUUCAUAGAAACCGGGCACCUUAAUUAAUUAGCCUCACCGUAAUUAAGCUUCAUGCACCUCCAAGAACCGUACGGCUCCCAAGCCGAAGUGCUAAUUAAUUGGCCUCUCUAAUUCCUUGCUGCUGUACAUGCCCUAAAUAGAACCGGUCACCAUAAUUAGCGUCUCUAAUUAAUUUUGGCCACCACACGCCUCUACGCCAUACACCAUACGGUCCUCAUACAUGCACCUAUAUAUAGAUAUAUGCAUUAACUCAAUCCUACUUUAAUUCAAUGUGAUUAUUGAAUAUAGAGUCUUAUAUAAAAAUCAAUCCUAGUCCACCUAGGAUUCUAACUUAAAUUAAGAUCCACCAAAAAUAAAUCCUAAUGAGAUCCUUUCUAUUUUUUCAUAGACCCGCUGCAUGGACCAAACCAAUAAAACAAAAAAGACAUAUCUUUAACAGUAAUAAUAAUAAUAAUAAGAAUAAUAAUAAUAAUAAUAUUAUUAUUAUUAUUAUUAUUUUAGAAUUAAAAUAAAAAAAAUAAUCAUAAUAAUAAUACUAAUACUUUAUAAUAUACUUAGAUUUGUACGAAAAAUUUAUUAUUAAUUAUUAUUAUUUUAGUAUUAAGUCGUGCUAGUACUCUAGUAGUUAUUAGUCGCAGUACUUCUAUUAUUAUAAUAAUAAAAUAGCAUGUACUAUAAUAUAUAAUAUAUUAAAAUAUACUAUAUUCUAUUUUCUAUGUUAUAUGUUUAUUUUAUUAUUAUUCUUUACUAUCCUAUAGACUCGGCCGAGCUAGCCUCACGUCAGUUCGAAUAUGAUUUGGCCCAAUCUGACCUCCCGCUAUUUCGAACGUGACUCGACCCAACCUGGCCUCCCGCCAUGGUGUAGAAUGCUGGCCCAUUUAAACCAACAGAUAAAAUCAAAUAAAAAUUUAUAAGAGUAGUUUAGGCACGCAGGAGUGUAUCUUGCGAAUAGAGGGAUAUUUUGAGAAUAAACGUGAUGGAUCCAAAAUUUUUCUUCGCUUGUUAUAUAUGAGUCUAGCUACUAUAUAUUUUUUUAGGAGGACGGAGGUCUUCGUCCUCCUAAGUCGUUUUGAUGAUAGGAAUUCCAAAUCGAUGAUUAGAGCUAUUAAAGUUGAUCUAGAGUAUUUGUAACAUCUAAAUACUAAUUUCAUAAUUAAAAUUUAAAAUUCGUUAUCAAGUUCAUUGAAAAGUUGAAAAAUGAACGUUAAAAAACGAACAACCUUGUGAAAAUAAAUGUUAGACUUUUUCAAUUCAUAAUCUGAGUUAUCAAACAUUAUCUAAAUAGUAUAAAAAAAUUUUUAUCACAAAUUCAAGCUGUUUGAAUUGUUCUACAGUACUGUAACACAAGCAAACGACUUAUAUAAGCUUUAAAAAACUGUCGAUUUUGUGAUGCUUUGAUCACUACGUAAAUAAUUUUUAAAAUUCAUAAAAUUUAGUUUCUAGACACUCUAAAUACUCUAGAUCAAUUUUAACAAUUCAAAUCAUCGAUUCAAAAUUUCUAUCAUCUAAAACAACUUAAGAGGACGAAGGCCUUCGUCCUCCUAAAAGGAUAGUAGCUGGAUUCUGUUAUAUAUAUUACAAAAAGGUAAUUUAAACGUCGUAUAAUACAACCAAUAAACUAGAUUUUGAUUUUGAGACCUCCAUUAUAGUGAUUUAUUAUAAAUGCAGCAUAUAAGAUAUACUUACGCACCCGGUGCACGCAAUAGUUUCUGUUUCUGAAGGGCCCCAAGCACUUAAACAUAGUUUCAAUAGGAAUUGAUUGCCUGUGUUGAUUAAUUUUAGCUUGUUAGUACCACACCAUCACAUGCAUGUAAUCGAAAAGCUUGAAAUUGUCCUUUUUAGUUAACUGGUCAAUUAAUUAAUUAACUAGUGGAAUAAUUAAUUAAUGGACCUCAAUGCUUAAUUUGGAGGUUAGCAAGGGAAGCUCCAACUAAUUAAUUUUUUAAGUUAAAGCCUUCCUUGUGUAUUAAUUCCUCUUCGAUGUUACAACUAUAACGAUCUGACGCAUUAAUAAUAAUAAAUCUAUGACGCCCUACUUUUCAAAGAGUCAUCUAUCCUAGGACUACUCUAACCCUAAAACACUUAACUCUCUUAGUCCUAACGUUUUCGUCAGGCUCAAACUCACAAAUAUCAGGUGAUGCAAGACUCAUGUCGCUAGUCUUAACCAAUCUCGUGGAUGAGCCGCACUCUACCCACAAUAGUCAUCAGUAUGAGAGUCUCGCUCUCUCCGCUAUAUAAUCUGGCUCAGCCGAGACUCAUCUCACACUUCCGGCUGAUAAUUAUUGGCUAUAGUCCUAACACAAUUAACUCUCUUAAUCUCUUGGGUCUAGCCACCAUCCAAAAUGCUAUAGCCAAGUUAACAGUUUUAGCCCUAUUAUUAUAUCUUAUAUAUAGGACUAUCUAGAGUUUUACAAACUCGUUGGGUUCAAACCAUCGGCACAAAAAUACUUAAAUUCAGCUAUUAUUGCUGGAGUCCCUGAUCUCUGUAUUUUUAUUUGCAAACCCUUUCUUAUCAUAUGCGAGACCAUCAAGGCAUUAUAACAAGUUAUUCAAAGAUAACUAUUAUUUAAAAAAAUAUUUUGUUUUCCUAUUUGGUUCAGUAUAUCAUUUCUUUUUUUAUUCAAUAAACAUGUAGAAUUAGAUAUUUAUAUAAGAAGUAUGAUUGAAUGUUUAUAAAAUAUAUAUAUAUAUAUAUAUAUAUAUGUAUAUCAUAUUCAACCUUUAUUUAAGUUAUAUUUUUGGAGUAAGACUUGUAGAUGAAAUAUUUUAUCCUAUAAUUGUAUAAUGUGGUGGACUUAGCUAUUGACAUAGCUACAGUUUGGGCUAUUAGUCAGUUGGUUACUAGAGUGUUGGAUUGAGUUAGAACCAAUUUUAGUGCAAAAUUGAUGCGAAAACGGGUUAAGAAAUUGAAAUUUGGAUGAUUCUGACUUUCUGGAGGCUUUUCGCAGACAUCACAUUGGUCCACGUGGAUAAAUAUUUGAUGUUAUAUCUGAAUUUGUAUUUUAAAAUUUUAGAUUUAAUAUAAUAUAUUUUGAAAUAUUAAAAAAAGAAAUAAUUGUUUCGGGUUCGGAUUUUCGGAUUCAGGUUCGGGUUAAGGUUUGGAUUCAGGUUUUGAAUUUUUGGUCGGUUCAGGUUUGGAUAUGAAUUUUUAAAAUCCGUCGGAUUCGGAUUCAGGUUCGGAUUUCGGGUUUGGAGUCGGGUUCGAGUUUGGAUUUUUGAAAAUCAGCUCUGAAUUUGACCCGUUAACAUCCCUACUCAUACACUACACUCCAAAGCUAAGAUACUGUUACGGAGGAUUUAAAAUCCAAUUUUAAUUUAGGAUAAAUUACACAUUUGGUCUUCAAAUUAUGAGGCACGCCUUCAAGAGAGGCCACCCAUUCUAAAAUUACUCUACUCCGAACAUACUUAACCCUUUAAUUUUUUAGGUAUAACCACUGUCCAAAAUGUUAUAACGGGGUUAAGAGGUUUUAGUCUUAUUAUACUUUAUGUAUAGAAUUAUUCCAAAUUCUGGAUGCGUCACGUUCUCCCUCUCUUUAAGACCUGACGUUCUCGUGAAGCUCGAACACACUGAAAAGCACUAGGUAAUGUGAGACUCGUCUCACCGGCCUUGUCAUUCAGAUUUUAACUUAGCCUCUUAUUCUCGGACUCUAAUUUAGCCUGUCAUUGAUCUUUUUCCUUAAUCGAAAUUCAUUCUACAUUUUCGACUGGUAAUCGGCUCUAAUACCAACUGUUAGGGUCAUCCAUCUUUUAACUGCUCUAGUCUUAACACGCUUAAUUUUCUUAACUUAUUGUACACACCCACCCACACCCCCCCCCCCCUUGCUAUAGUCGGAUUAAGCGAUUUUAAUGUUAGUAUACCUUAUAUACGUAGAGGACUACUCCAAAUUCUAGGAAUGUCACAAACACAUGAUAGUUUGGUCCUCAAAUUUUUAAUUUGCCAUUAUUUUUGGCUCGAACUUUCUAAAAUCAAGUCCAACAACUCAAUUUAAUUGCUAAAAUAUUGACAAAUUGUUGAUAUAAAAAUAAUAUAAAAAUAUUGUGAUUGAUAAUACAGUAAUAAUUAAAAUAUUUUAUGACUUCUACGCCAUAAUUUGUCAACAUUUAGCGGCGGUGUGGGACAUAAUUGCAAUAACUCAAAAUAUUCGAGUCAGAAAUUAUAACAAAUUAAAUUUUGAAAAUCAAAAUGUUACGCACCUCAUAAUUCGAGGACCAAUUUACUCUUUGAUUUAUGAUAUGCUCCUAUAUACGACAUUCGUUUUUUUUUUUUUUUUUUUUUUCCUUUUAUAACAUCUGUAUACGUACAACAUUAAAAAAGUUCACUUAUAGAAGAUUACAAAUUUGAGCAAUGAUUAAGUUAAAAACCCGCAAUAUUAGCCGUUUCGAAUCGUGUUACAUUCACUUUCUAAGAGUACAUGAAAGUAUAAUUUAUUUCAAAUAAAUAGCUAAAUCGUGCAAAUUCCUAACAAGAUGGAUUUCGAUCGAUUUCUUGUUUUCUUUUUUUCCCAGUAAUUUAAUGGAAUUUGGGUGAAAGAAAAGAUCAACUUGGAAAGGAUUUUGUAGAACAAAUAUUAUUAUUCCAUUCUCAUUUGGAAAGUUUUGUCAUGUCUUUUUAUUGCUGAGUAAAUUAAUCUCCUCCUCUGCAUCUGCAAAAUGAUCAGUUCAUGUUUCAUCUGCAAGUUCUCUUAUUAUUGAUCUGCCACAAGAUAAUUGGUUUCUGCUAACAGUAAGGGAUCUGAUCAUUCUGCUGCAUGCAUGUUUCUAUAGGUUGCAGCAGUCUUCCCCGCAGCACGCCUUUCCGCACCGGAUCAGCGGCCUGAAAAUGAACCAGCAGCAUCUGCAUCCUGCAGCAGUCAAUAGCCAUCAAACAACAGCAGCAGCAGCAGCAGCAGCAGUGCUGAACUGCAUGCAAUACCAUGUUUGCUCAUCCAAAAAACAUAGCUUAAAAAUGCCAUAGCUUAAAACUGCCAAUACCAUAUUUGGAACACUUUUGAGUAAGUAUUCCAUUUAUGCUAAAACUUAAAAACACAUCUACUAAUGCCUAAAUAUAAAGCCUAAUCCAACCAAAAAUAAAAGAUUACUUUACUCAACCCACCACAUCCAGUCCAUUUGGCCCAAUUACAAACAGAAAAGAAAAAAAAAAAAAAAAGAAAAAUCAAUUACUAUCUUUUCUUCUCUCUUCACUCAAUCCACUGAAAUUUUAGACGAAGAGCUUUUACUAUCGUCCUCCUCCGCCACCGCAGCCAACGAGAUAGAGUUUCGGCGGUUACUAAAUGCUUAAAUAAGUGUUGGUAAAUUAGCAGCACUCUUUUAGGUUAUAGUGACACUCUUUAACUGUCACUAUAUACCUAGCGACCCUACAUAUAGCAACACUUUUUAAAAGUGUCGGUAAUUUUAGCUAGCAGCACUUUUUUGACAUUUACCUAUAUUUAAAAGUGUCGCAAUAGACCGUUUUUUUUGUAGUGACUAGGCUAGCUUUUUACAUAUCUUUUUACUUAUAUAUAUAUACCCCUAAGGAAACAUCUAUUUGCAUAAACUACCCUUGUAAUAUCAGGAUUUUUAUGUAGGCUAAAGUACAGAAAGCUCUUAUAUAAAUAAAUACUUAUUUUUGAAUUGAGCUCGUAUGCUUUUGAAAGUAUCAAGUCAUCGAUGCUUAUAGGUUUUCGGCUCUUGGAUUAAGAGAUGUGCGGUUAGAAUGAUAGUGGUCUUUUAGCGUUCAGUGAGUGGUUGGUUGAAUAGUAUAAUCUAACAGGUGAAAAUGGUCAAAGGAGUAGAUCGAACAGCGAAAAAUUUACAAGCACCAAAUACUUUGUGCUUAUAAAAGCACCAUAGCCGGACUCCUUAUUUUUUCACUUUCCCCUUCAGUCUUUUAAAAACCUAUAUUUGGCCAUUUUAAAAUUUUAAAAAUAUUUUUAGAGUAUAACAGCAUUAAUUGACAAGGGUAAAAUGACCAAAACGCUAGCUCUUAUUUAUUCUGGAGGAAAAAAAUAAUUUUUUAACAUAUUUCUUCCAUUUAUAGGGUAUUUUCAGUAUAUUUAAUUAUAAAUUAUUAAAAACUAGCAGAACAAUGACAAAAUCGUGAUGGAGUGGGGCUAAGUGCACAUCACCUUACAAUUUUGAAAGGGCAAAAUAUAGGUUUUCAAAAGUCCGAGAGAGAGUGAAAAAGUAAGUUAUUUACUGGGAGAUUGUAUGUAUUUUAGCUUUUUAUGUAUGUCCUGACAUUGUAGUUUCUUACAAACGCACCCAUAUCCAAUGACAGGAAAUCAUUUAUUAGAUACUAAGAGGUUCUAUAUAUGAAGGUAAAAUUGCAUAUGACUUGUUUAAACUAUAGAUUAUUUUGAGUCAGUAAUCCAACUUUUAAAAUUUUUUUUAGACUAAAUUACAUAAAAUCUCCCUGUCAAAAUUCGAUUUUUCACUUUUCCUCCUGUCAUUUAAAAACCUACACUGUACCCCCUUGUAAAAUAAAAAAUGUUUACAGGAGGGUACGGUGUGUACUGUAAUGAUAAAAUAAUCAUUUUGCCUCUCACCAUUUUCGUCUUCUCCCUCAUCUUCCUCAACAGCAGCCUCUAUCGACCAUGGUUCACGCUUUGAUCGGCCGCGGUUUCUCCACGGAUCACGCCUCAUCUUCCUCCUAUACCCUCGCCGCCCCUCAAUUUCGGCGACAGUAGGUUGGAAAUCGAGAUGGGGGUGGGUGGAGAGGUGGGUAACGACAACGAGGGCGAAGGCGAGGUGGCGGAGGAGGGCAAAGGGGUGUUUGUGGGAGCAGACAGGAAUGUGGGCGAGGGCGAGGCAGUAGAGGAGGGCGAGACGACGAGGCGACGAGGCGGAGGAAGGCGAAGCAACAGGGAAGAGGGCGGAGGGGUAUUUUGGGCAUAAACAAUUAUUUUAAAACGGAACCCUAAUAGAUCACUAACGGUAGGGGGCGAAGUGCACAUUUUUCAUUUUACAAGGGGGUAAAAUGUAGGUUUUUAAAUGACAGGAGGGGAAAGUGAAAAAUGGCGUUUUUACAUGGAGGUUUUCUGUAAUUUAGCCUUUUUUUAUUUUACUAUCCAACUUUUCUAUUCGUUUCAUUUGAGUCAAGUAACAAUAAUUUGACUUCAAAAUUUAAGGUAAUUACUUUCUUAAUACAUUUAUAGUUGGGAGAAGUUUAUAGGGUAUACUAGUUAGACUUGUAAAGAUAAACAACGCAUUCAAAUUUUCAAGUCAAAGUUCCGUUGGCUGGCUGAAAUCAUAUAAAUUGAAAGGUUUGAUAGCAAAAUUAAAAUUUUGAAAAGUUGGAGAGUCGACUCAAAAUAAUCCACAAUAAAGAUAAGUUCCAUUAGUUUUAAAUGUAAGUAUAUAUUUAAAUAGAUAAUUUCGUAGGGAUGUAUGUGUAAUAUAUGUUAAAAUAACGUGAAACGACCAUUAUUCUUCGAAAAUGUAGUAAGACUCAAACUCAUGACCUUCUACUCUGAUAUCGCUUUAAAUAAUGUGAAAUGAUUGUUACUCUCUGAAAACUUUAACUACGAGAGAAUGGUUCUUGUUUCUGUACGCUUAUAUUGGAAAAGAAAAAAAAAUGCCCCCUACAGUUUAAUAUUUUCUCACUUUACUAUUCUAUAGUUUUGUUUUUCUCUUUCUAUUACCAUCAUCAUUAACUUUUUCGUUAAACCAGUAGUGAAGUUAAAACUACAUAAUAUUAAAAUAAAAAAAUUGGUAAACCAUAGGGGAGUAUUUUGAAAUUUUUUCCACAUGCUUUAAUGGAGAAGUUAAUAGAGGAGCUGACAUAAAGGGAAGGAAAAGUUAACACAUAUAGUACUAAUGUGAUACAUUUUAAAAUACAUGUUACUAAAGUAAGAAACCGUUAAACCACAUGGGUUAUUUGAUGUUUUUCUUUUUACAUUCAACAUGUAAUAUUGUUGCAAAGAUAGUGAAGAUUUAGAAACUUGAGAGAGACUAAUUAUAUAAAACUUCAGUGGGGAGAUGAUCCACUCUCAUGUGUUAGUUCGCUUUCUAUUCAAUAGUUCAUUGAGUAUCUUUUAAUACUAAAAAUUUAUAAAAAAAAAAUUUAAAACCCUAGAGAGAAGGAUUAUAAUUCUUGGAUAGAGAUUAGGAUUAUAACCCUUGGAUAGAGAUAAAAGUGACACGUGGCGACAGAUUGGGGCUCGUUAACGAGACGUCAUUGGGGGAGCUUCCUGCUCAAGUUUUCCCUUUUAUAUUAAUUCAACAUGUAUAAGUAUGUCGCGGAGAUGGUGCAGAUUUAGAACGAGGGAGAGACUAAUGGAUAGAACUUCAGUGGGGAGCGUUCCAACAAUGCAUUGCUGGGGAGCCAUCGAUUCGCUCUCAUGUGUUAGUUCUAUCCCUAUCUAGUAAUUCGUUGGGUAUCUUAUAAUACUAAAUUCAUAAAAAAAAAUUUAAACCCUAGAGAGAAUGAUUGUAACUCUUGGAUAGAGAUAAAAGUGACACAUGGCGACGAAUUAGGGCUCUUUAACAAGAUGUUGUUUGGAAGCUCCCCACUGAAGUUUUUUUUCGAAACUAACCUUGUGGGUGGAUCUGAUGCUCCGCGGCCUCCGAUCGGACGGCCACGAUCAUCACGAAGAGCAGCAUCAGCAAGAUCCAAGUGAUAGGAUGAGGACUCUUCCCCUUCAUUUUGUCUCUCCUCUUUCUCUUAAUUUCUCACUUGCACUACAAUGAAGGAAAAAUGAGCAAAUGAAAACCUUCUACAUUGGAAACUAUUUAUAAGAAUACUUGGAAUCUUUAUAGGUAUCUCCAUGGGUUAAAUAUGCUACUACUUUUGCCAAAAUUUUUUUACUUUGGCCACCUUCUUUUUAGGUAAAUCGUACAAGGAACUUACCUGAAUGAUGAAUCAUUUUCAGUUAACUAUCCAGUUAUUUAAAAUUUUGAUUCUACUAUCCACUAUUUUAAUUUAUUUAAUCUGAAUCAGUCAACGGUAGUUUGACUUACAAAAUAUGAUUGCAUCGUUUAUCUUCACAUUUUAGUUAGUAUACUUCGUGCAAUUUUCGCGAUUAUAAAUUCAUUAAAGUAAUAAUUAGUUUAAAUUUUAAGCUCAAAGUAUCGUCAACUGACUCAAAUCAAAUAAAUUAAAAUAGAAAAAUUAAAAUUUUAAAAAAUUGAAUAGCCAAUUCAAAAUUGUCCAUAAGUUCGGUACGUUUUCACUUUUUCAAAAAAAAUAAAAUUUACACCUCCUGAGCUAUUAAUAAUAUGUCGAAUUGGUCCACUCCAUUAUUAGUGGUUAAGUUCACCAACAGAAUGAUAAUGUUUAAACAUUUAAUCAAUGCAUUUUUCUUGCAAGAAACUUGGCAUAAGUUCUUUUCCACAUGAAAAGAAUAUCGUACUAUAAAUUUAAGCUAUAUUUUGAAAUGUUCAACUAGAUGUUUUUAUUACACGGUACGUUUCAGCUCGUGAGCCUCUCGCACUUUUUCAUAUUAUCCGAUGUGGUAUUAUUACAGUGUCACAUAUAUAUACUUCUUUCACAUUAUCCGAUAUGACCCUACUAGCUAGGGUGUCACAUAUAUAUGCUCCUUUCGUUUUAGAUCUUGACAUUCUCGUGAAUCCAAUCGCACAACCAUCGAAUGAUGUGAGACUUACCACACCUUUUUGGUUGGUGAAGCACCCCGAUACUAACCGUAGUGAAUGAGCCCACUAACAUCAAUAACUUAUUGGGCCCAAACUACUAAUAAAAAAUACUUAAAUCCAAGUUACUAGUUCUAGCAAAUCCAUCACAUAUAAAUCCCUCAUAUUUUUUCACAUUAUUCCAUGUUGGACUAUUUUGGAGUAUCACAAAAUGGGCCAAUAGUCUUGUUUUUUUUAUCAUAAAAAUCUUACGUGAUAGAACUUAAAAGCUUUUGUGGAGUCUUAUAAUUCUUUAAAAUGUGGGAUUAUACAUCUCAUUUUUAGUUUUCUACUCUCUCUCUCUCUCUCUCUCUCUCUCUCUCUCUCUCUCUCUCUAAACCCAUGCAUGUGACUUUUGAAGAGAGGAUUCUGGCUAAACUUCCAAAACCUCAUGGUUUUUUGGAUAUCUAUGAAUUAAUGUUUUCCGGGAAGGGCAUAUAUAACUGGGAGAUGAGGUCAAAGAAUAUGUAUCAUAAGAAUAGGCCAAAGAAUAUUAUAUCUAGCAGUGCUCAUCAAAGAAUUGGAAUUUAUGCAAAUUAGUCCAUGAAGACCCCCAAAUUAGGAUGUGAUACCUAAGAUCUCAUAGCUCAGUGGUCCAUUUUAUAAAACAAUAGGAGAAAAUUAACUAUAUUAGGAGUUUGGAAUGACGCGAACUUAGAACCUUCUGCUCUAAUACCAUAAUAAAUUAUAUGAAACAACUGUUGUUCUCUAAUAAUUUAAGCUGAUACAGAAUGAUGUUUUUAUAUUUAAGUCUCCCCCUCACGUCUGAGCUCAAAACUGUUUUAUAAACCCAUGAUGUAGACUUGAAUUGUAAGGACUGAGAUUUUUGACAGUGCGACUAAACUCUCUGUUGAUGAUGUUUAUGUGUGUAAUUUAAUUACAUAGGCACUCGUCAAGUUUCAGGAGAAACUGAGCUAAAAUGGAGAAGAUACGCGAUUUUCAGUUUUCACUUAAGUGAAUAGUAACUCCGGUUUUCCGGGGAAGNACUCUCUGUUGAUGAUGUUUAUGUGUGUAAUUUAAUUACAUAAGCACUCGUCAAGUUUCAGGAGAAACUGAGCUAAAAUGGAGAAGAUACGCGAUUUUCAGUUUUCACUUAAGUGAAUAGUAACUCCGGUUUUCCGGGGAAGCCACGGAGUAGAGUCGGCUUCUGGUGUGUAUCGGACUCCGUUCAUAUCAGUCCAAUAGCUCGUUUCGACCGGUUCAGCUGUUCUGGAACUUGUGGCGCUGAUGGAUUUUGAGUUUGAGGCACGGAUUUCGAGAAAAUCCAAAAAUACAUGUUUUAUAUGUAUUUGUGCGUGAGUGUUUCCUUCUAUUGGAAGAAGGUUGGAUUUUGUCGUGAAUCCGUGGUCGAUCGAGAUGAAUCGAAGGUGUAGCUUUGUUGUCUCCGAGGUGCUGAUCGCACUGGUGCAAUCCGUUCGCAAAUCUGACGGACGGAUCUGCGGAGAUCGCGCGUUGAUCGAGGAGAGGUCGGUGUUGGCAAAACGGUAAUUUCGCAAAAGUCGCGACAUUUUAUGUACCGUUACGCGUGAAAUCGCACGUGGAGGGGUAUUCGCGCGUUUUACUUGUGCUGUGAGGGACUAGGAUCAAAUUGUUGAGUCUUGGUGGACUUUUUCGCAAGUUUCUCCUUGGUAUAGAUUCAUUCUAGGGUUUUCUUGGAACCCUAACCCGUCUAGCCACUUCCAGCUAACCCUAGCCGCCCCCUUGCUUUCCUUGCCCUAGCCGCUCGCCUUCCGGUCGCUGCCGACCAAGUCCGGCCGGCCGCCGCCGCUGCAGCACCACAUUCCUCCCUCUCCAUCUCUCUCCAUCUUCUUUUUCUUCCGGGUUGGAGCUCGGGCCGAGGUUAUGUUGUCUCUUGGCACCUUGUCGACGUAGCCCCGACCCCUCGGCGUCCCUCUCCGCCGAUCGCCGCCGCCCUGAGCCGCCCGGAGCGCCGCCGCUGCCGCUCCAGCCGCUGCUGCAUCCUGCAGCUUCCCAGCCCGAGCCCAGGCCGGGUCUAACCCGCGGCCUCCCCGCGCGCAGCCACCGCAUGAGCCUGCUCCCGCCGCCGUCCUCGGAGUCUCGGCGGCCCUCCCCGCAGGUCGCCGGCGCCCCUGCGGGCCGCCACCGCCGCCUCGGCCGGCAGCAGUCGCCCCAGCCCGAGCUGAGGUCUCUGUGCGCCCUCUCCUCCGCGCCGCAGCCACCUGGGGUAGCUUCCGCGGCCGUCUCCUGUGUUCCCCCCGACCUUCCCGGCCGGUCGCCGCCGCCCUUCGGGCCGUCGCCGCCGCCCUGAACCCUGGGCGCCGCCGCCCAGGUCUGCAACCGAGCCUAGCUCGAGUGGCAGCGCUCGAGUCGUGGGCUGCCGCUGCUGCCGCCCGCCGCCUCCCUUCUCCUCCUCCGGCAUCUGGGGACCCGCCGCUGUCGUCCCCGACCUGUCCCGGCCAUCGCCGUCGCUGGGAGGAGCCGCUGGACCGUGCCCUAGCUUGUGCGGGCUCCGCUCGUUCCGCCGUCGCCGCCGCCACUCUCCGCCGCCAACCGAGGUGAGCAUCGUAUUCCUCACCUCCCCCGCACCCAUCUCUGGCCUGCGCGAACCUCGGCGUGCCGCCGGAAGCCGGCCGGAGCAAGCUUGCUCCGGCCAAGCCCAAAAUAGGGCUGUUUGUGGGUUGUUUGUUGUUCUGAGCGACCCGAGCCUCCCCGAUCCCUACGGAAGGGAGCACGGUGAUCGUGGCAAAUUGCCGAUCAUCGUGCUCACCUUAGAUUCUGUUGGGGAGACUCCGUUCUGCUGUUUUCGUUGUGUCGACCCCGUGGAGCCUGUUUGGCUGCUGUUUUGGGUUUGCGCGCGCUUAUCCGGCGAUCCGAGGCUGUCCUGAUGCCUCCGGAGGUGAGCACGGUGAUCGUUGGUCUGUGCCGAUCACAUCGCUCACCUCACUUUGGAUCAACAGUGUCGGGUCAGCCCUGUUUGGCGCGAUCUUCCCUGACUGCGCGCUGUUUGCAGAACUUCGGGUUGCUCCCGCACUUCCCACAGUGACCUGUUGCGCUCCAGACCGUGAGCACGGCCUCCGGCACGUCGAGACCUGUCAGUACGUGUCUCGGCGGAACUUCGAGGUCAUCAGUUUGUGAGAACGAGUCAUAGGAGCCGCCCGAUUUACAUAAAAUGAUGGAUUUUAUAUAAACAUAGGGGCUUUUGUGCAAUUGUACUCCUUGUGGCUACUGUGGGCAGCGUGUAAGAGUGUGUUUGACCUCUGGACUGAUUGUCCAUGAUCCUGUAGCUUUCGUGGAAAUCGAAAGAUCGAUUUCGGUGCGUUUUUCGGCAAAAUUCGUCGAAAGAACGCGAUUUCGGUUCGGAUUCUUCUCGACGGUGUUUGUUUGCUCUGUGUUUUGUCGCUGAGCCUUGUUGGCUGGUCACCAUCAUUAUUUUGUAGGUUCGAGGAUGAUAGGUGAGCGACGGAGGGUUCCGGUGUCGAAAUAGACACUUUCGGGAACCCGGAUUUGUACAAUUAUCCGGCGAUAAUUGUGUAGGGGUGUUACCUUGUGUUUGCUGCCAAAACACCCAAAUUGGAGUGUUUUUGGGCAGCAGGUGACUUGUGACACGAGUCGGUGAGUUUCGGGACACUUAGUGGGUCCCGACGGCGUCACGGUGUGGUUUUCGGGACUUCCGGCGAGUUACGGUAAUCGGUAUUGGGAAACCUAUCUUCGUGGGAUUGUUUGUGGUUAUGCUUUUAGGGUUUCUUAGUUGUGGGUUAGACACUAACCCAGUUGACCCUCCUUAGGUCCAGUUGACGUUCUUUUGCAGUCAGGAGACAGACGCGACAGUCGUGCAGGUGGGUACUUCGAUCCGAAGUCGGUACAGUGGUGCACGCUCGGUGAUAUCUCUUCUAUCCCUGUUCUUCUAUUGCUAUUUUCGUAUUAUAUAUUGAGCUUGCAUCCCCGUUGUUUCUAUCAUACUCUACUCAUAUGUUCUAUGCUUAGUAUCAUGUGUAGGAGUAGAGUAGUUUAUCCCUAUGUGAUACUGGUAAUCUGAUUGGUCGGUUCUCGUACUUCGUUCGGUGACUUGAUUGGUCGGUUCUCGUACUUCGUUUCGGUGACCUAGUUGAUCGGUGCUUUUAUCUUAUAUCUGUUGACCUGGUUGGUCGUGUUGCACUAUGUAUUGGGUUGGUCUAUUUCUUGACUUCUGUCGUUCGAUGACUUUGAGGUCGGUGGUACCCUGAGGUAGGAUUGUCGGCUGGUGCUGACGGUAGUUCUGGACUAUAUCGAAUACACUCCUGUGACAUAUCGGUCGGUUCUUACGUUCGUACUUUUAGUUGACAUCGAGCAGUAUCUAUAUACUAUCUUUAUUUACCUGCCUAGUUGUUCUAUGUGUAGUAUCCUGUAUAGGGUAGAGUAGAUGGCAUUCGUAUAUCACAUACUUGUGACCUGGUUGGUCGGUUCUCCUUUUUGCAUCGGUGACCUGUUUGGUCGUUUCGUUACUUUCCGUACAUUGACCUAUCUCGGUCGUUCACGUUGUUGCUUGAUGACCUACACGGUCGGUAUGCCCAGAGGGGAGUGAUUGUCGGCUGAUUGCCGACGGUUGGCUAUUGAUCAUAUCCGCAUUGAUCGCCACAGCUCGAGUGCUUUCACGUACACCAGCGGUGAUCCCCCGCGAGGGUGUUUUCUUUCCGGAAAAGUGGUCGUACAUCCGACCCGUGAGCCCAGCGGUGUUCUCUUUGUGCUAGGUGUACAUGCCAGGUGUGAGCAGAUAGUGGCUUUUGCCUGAGCGUCCUUAGACCGACACGAGGUUAGAUUGGGUACUUUUGGACUUCUUGUCCGGUUGACGGCAUAUAGCUAUAGUAGCGGUUGUUGCAUAUGUACUUCUAGUUCUUUCUUUACAGUUGUCUUGCUACUAUAGUAUUGAUAUCCUUUGUAUGCUUGCAGUUGUACAUUAUAGUACGGUAGUUGUGUUUUUAUAUAUAUAUAAUCAUUCGUUCAUAUCGUUGCUACAGUAUAUUUUACUUACCGCAUACUGUUGGUUAUCUCUCCUGAUCCCGGUGAUACUCCUCGCCUUCUUCGGCUUGUGGUACCCACUAGGAGGGGAGACAUGUUUACAUGUUCUCACCUCCCCCACAAUUUUCAGGUAUCGUGGGCGAUGAGUAGUGGGACGAGACGUGAGGUACGCGUGUAGCGGUCGAUAGAGCUUUCGACCCGGGUUAAUUCGGUUUACUUUCUUACCCUUCUUAUUUUGGCUGAUGAAUAGUUUAGUUGAUUUAUGUGGUUCAGUGUUUAUUUACAUUUGAAAAUGUGGAUUUCUGGAUUUUGUAAAAUAAAAGGUUUUCUACCCCUCGUGGUAGCGUUUUUUUUAACGAAUAAAGGUUUCCGUAUAGGGAACAGUUUUCAAAAGAAUUUUCGUGAAUUUCUAUUUAAACACUGAAUGUAAAACUGUGAUGUGAAUGGUGAAUGUAUGAAUGUAUAGUUAUCUUUAUAUUCAUUUGGUUGUGGUUGUUUCCUGGCUAUACUCUUGUACUUGUGCGACGCCGUGCAAAUACAGGGGAGACUCUAUCCGUGUGAACAGUGGAUUCCCUGUAUUUGUGGCGGAUCUGGCAUACCCAGGGGUCAGGUUUGCAAAAAAAAAAAAAAAUUUUUUCCGCUGUGUUUUUAACCUAAAGGGACCCCGGGGCGUGACAUGAAUUAAAUAGAAAAAAAUCAAUUUUGCUAAUACGUGACUCAAACCCAUAAUCUCCUACUUUGAUACCACGUUAAAUUUUAUAAAAUAACUAUUAUUCUUUAAAAGAUUAAGCUGGUAGAGAAUGGUCGUACUUUUAUAUUCUUAUAUUUAAGAAUCUACAAUACGCUUUGAGCAUAUCUCCUCAUCACCAUGUGUUUACGACAAAAAUUGAAAAGAUCUAAUGUAUCGAAUGAGAAAAUACUGAAAAAAAUAAAAAAGAAAGAUGGACAAAUAAAGCAUACAAGUAAUUUACGUGGUUUAGCCAAAAGCCUACGUCUAUGAAUGAAAAAUAGGGUGAAGACUAUAUAAUAGAGUCAAAGCAGAGUACAAAAAAUGUCUUUCAUAAAAAAUUCUAGUCCCAAAAUAUAUCUCAUAUUCUCUCUCUCAUUCGCCACAGCAAUUCAUAGAAUACAGGAUAUAUUUACAUU
rnacentral:lncRNA from 1 species